ACUAGUUGUUAGGCAUGGACAAAAUUGGAUUUGUCAAUGGUGCUGGCGUCGACGAGGACUCGACUUGCUUGCACGCACAAUCACUGGUCUACGCCUACAAUGUCACCAUGGCCGUCAAGGCGGCUGUCAAGCUCGGCCUCCUCGAUGAGCUCAGCGCGGCCGACGGCCGCGCCGUUACCGCCGACGAGCUCGCCGCGAAGGUUGUCCAAGCAGAGGACAAGACCGUCUCGGCUGCCUGGAUUGGCCGGAUCCUCAGGUUUCUCGCGUCCUUCGACGUCGUGAGGUUCUCGGCCGAGAAAGGUGCCGACGGUUCGGUGCUCUGGCGGUACUCGCCGGCGCCGGCAUGCCGCUGGCUCACCAGAAACAAUGGCGACGGGUCGCUUGGCCCAAUGUCGGUGUUCGCCGUCGACGAGGACAACUUGUCGUCCUGGUGCGUUCUAAGUUCUAACUUCAUCAUACGUACUGUUAUUGUGACUGCAAAAAUGCCUCUCUGAAUCUUAAAUACUUUUCAUGAAGGCAUUACAUAGCCGACGCGGUUGCCGGGGGCGUCAAGCAAACGCCGUUCGAGCUUGCCCAUGGGGGGACGCCGGCGUACGAGUACUUUGGAAAGACCCCACGUCUGAGCACGCUGUUCGACCAGGCCAUGGCCCAGCAGUCGCUGCUGGUGAUCAGGAAGCUGCUCGACCACCCCAAAGUGUUCGCUGGCGUUGGAGUCCUCGUCGACGUUGGAGGCGGCACCGGUGCAACCCUAGCGGUGAUCAGAGACCGGUACAAGAACAUCAGGGGCAUCAACAUGGACCUGCCUCACGUCAUCUCUGACGCUCCGUCACUUCCAGGUAGCCCUCGUCUAUAGGAAUGGUACUUGUGUCCAUGAUGUACUUGCGUGCUUAAGUUUUUUGUUUUUUCUCACUGCAGGCGUGGAACAUGUAGCUGGGGAUAUGUUUGAAAGCGUACCCUCCGGAGAUGCAAUUCUGAUGAAGGUUUGUUUGAAUGCUGUUAGAUUUCAUGUACUUUGCUCUUGGUUUUACGCCAUUAUUACAUGUGACUAGUGCGUGCAUGUGCAGUGGAUGCUCCAUAUGAUAAGUGACGAGGAGAUCAUCCGGAUACUCAAGAACUGCCACAAAGCUCUCCCGGAUAACGGGAAGGUGAUCGUCAUUCAGAGUGUCCUGCCGGAGACCCCAGAGUCGACUCCAGCUUCGCGAGAUUCGUUCACCAUGGACAUCAUCCUUCUCGUCAACUUCAUGGGAGGAAAGGAGAGGACCGAGCAGGAGUACGCCAAGCUUGCCAGGGAUGCAGGCUUUACCGGUGGCUUCCAGUCAACCUACAUCUUCUGCAACAUUUACGCUCUUGAAUUUACCAAGUAGACACCCAUGUUUACUGGUGGUUGUGGUAAAUUAGAGCUUGCGUGCUCCUGCAGUCUGUAUUUUAAGCUUUCGAAUAAAACAAGCAUCCUCUUGGUGAUAAUGACAUUGGGGACUUCAUGGGUGUGAUUGAUCCUCCUUUUUUGAUGUUUAGUUGAAUAGUAUGUUAUUCCACCCAUUGAAAUAAAUAUUGUUGCCGGCUUGUGUAAUCACUACUGGAAAACCGACCUUCCAUCCAACCCCUUUAGUCCCGAUUAACAUUGCACCCGUGACUAAAGCAAUUGGGGACUUCAUGGGUGUGAUUGAUCCUCCUUUUUUGAUAUUUAGUUGAAUAACAUGUUAUUCCACCCAUUGAAAUAAAUAUUGUUGCCGGCUUGUGUAAUCACUACUGGAGAACUGACCUUCCAUCCAACCCCUUUAAUCCCGGUUACCUAGUUAACAUUGCACCCGUGACCAAAGUUCUUUUAGUCCCGGGUCAAAAGUGUGCCACUGAAGAUCACCACGGGGGGCGGGGGGGGGGGGGGCGCGGGGGAGGGGAGCUUUAGUCCCGUUGGGAUUACCAACCUGGAUAAAAGGGGGGGUCUUUUGGGACAAAAGGGGUGGUAUUUUGUCCCGGUUGGAUUUUCCAACCGGGACAAAAUGUCCUCUCCUAUAAACUCCCUGGACCGAGAGGUCGUCUUCCUCCCUCAGCCCGAGCCACUCCACUCCACCAGAGACAUUUGGCCUUUUAUCCACGGCGAGCAAGCAACCUUAGGGGAGGUGCUGCCCGAAUUUUUUUCCUCAUUUCCAUGAGGAUUUCACUCAUCCAAAGUAUUUGGGAGGUUAGGUACUUCAUCCUCCCUUCAUUUAUUGUUAUUAUGCUUUAUUUUAUGCUUUAGAGAGGGAGAAAAAUGAGUUUUUUAGAAUGAGGGAGAAUGGAGAGGAUUUUUGAGCUAGAAUUUGAUGGAUAGCUUUCUCAUUAUAUAUGAUUCGUAUUAGUUAAAAGAAAUUGAUCAAUAUUAGGUAUGAGAAAAAAAUAGAGUAAAUGUGUUUUUAAUAUUUAGUCAUUGCAAUAAAAUUAAGGUAAAUAAAUUGUAGGUGUAAGAGAUUAGAAUAGUAAGGAUUAUGAUAUACCACCGUACAAACCAAAUAGUUGAAACAGCAUAGUAAUGAUGGAGCUCAUGAAGUACAAACCAAAUGUUCUUCUCCAUGCUAGUAAAGCUACAGAAUGAUGUGGUACACAGAGCCAACCGACUAGAGUAAACGCUCGCAUGUGAUCCGCCCUGAUUGCAAAACAACAAGCUACGCAUAGUACUCUCGUGUGUCCACUCGGAUACGCUCGCAAUAAUGCAGGCACAAAGGAUAAAGGCACAGUGUUCUUGUACAUCCUCUCGGGCACGCUCGCAAUAAUACGGAGAAAAAGGACGACUACUUCCAUUGCGAGGCUACGAGUAGUAAACUACUAUAGACUACUCAUCAGCCAAGCUCACAAGUAGCUCGCAGAUACAACUCCUGCCCAGUCAGCAAGAAACAAUGCUCAACAAAGUACUAAGGAUCAUCACAGCUGCACUAGUCAGAAACUGCAAUACAAUAUUUUAGUUCGUUCAAAACAUCAUUGUUCAAAGACACAAGUUCAAGAGCAGUUACAACCAAAAGAACCCUAGGAGACUACUCUAGGUUGAUGAAUUUGGCUACUUCCUCAGCUAUAGGUUCCAAUUCUUCCAAGUAUUGCUGAUAAGUCUCGUCAGAGAAUCCACAGCAACACCCUCCACCACUAAAGACAGGUCAGCCUUUGGAAAGAACAACUUGAUGAAUCCCAGGAGUUGCUUGGACAUCGACUUGGCCAUGCCUUGGACUAGGCUAUUAAUCUUCGCCAGCGCAUCCCUGAUCCUCUCCAGCAGGGGACGAGGCUCUACUCCUUCCUCAGGGGGUGUCGGGCAUACACCCCAGGUCCACGAGUAGGCCUUGGACGGCCCACCAAGGGAUGUACUCGGACAAGAUCGGAACAAGGAUGGGCGUAUCCUACUCGGACUAGUCAAGUAUGUUUAUGGAAAACUACUCGGGCCGUUACCGAGUAGAACUGUGUAAUAGUACCCGACUAGGACUCAGACUUGUAACCCUGCCCUCCUGUGUAUAUAAGGGCGGGCAGGGACCCCCCUCAAGGGGGGACGAGAACAACUCCAGUUCAUCAAAUACAAACCAACACACAAGACGUAGGGUAUUAUGCGAUCUAGCGGCCCGAACCUGUCUAAAUCGUGUUCCUUGCGUCACUAUUGAUUCCUUGAUUCCCGACGACCCUUACCGCAUAAAAGACCACCUAGGGUACCCCCUAGGCGGGUUGCUGGUCUAAAACACCGACAGCUGGCGCGCCACCUUCGUUUUCAGAUCUUGGUUUUGCAUAUGGAGUAGCCCUUGAGCCUUAGGUUGAGUCGAAGAGUCAGGCUUAGGGUCAAACCAGCUUUUGUCCAUUUUACCCUUGGAGAUCUUGGGAAAAAAAGAAAAAACUGACCAACGGGUACGGUACCCGCAGCCCCCGAGCACUUAGGCGAUCUCUGUCGUUGAAGUGGUCAGCAGUCCGUUGAAAAGAGUAGCCGUUGAGUGUUAAAGGUGAUUAAUCUGCAAUUAAUCUGUCCGUUCCACAACUGACGCAUGGAAACCGGAGCUGGCAGAGAUAAAAGUGGAAGGUACCCUUUCGGUUGGUUUUAUGCCGUACGGUAAUCAGAUCUGUUUUUCUGGCUCCCCUGUUCUUCUGCUCACAUUUGCGCCGCCGUAAGUGCCACCACCGCCAUUGUCGUCCCUUGAGGGAGAUCCGAGGGAGAGUGUCAUUUUAGCUUGAAGUUGAGUCCGUCGGAUGCGCACUAAGAAGAUGGGCAAGAAACUCGAGAAGAUCCAGGGCCAGGCUCCGGCGAUGGCCUUGUGGAACUCCAAGUUGGAUGGCAGGGUGACCACCGGUGUUUGAGUACCUUCCGCAAGAUGAGGAGUUGUACCCAAAAUGGCACCUACAUCAUUUAUCGUCAGUCAACCGCCUGCUACGACUACAGUAACAAGACUACAAAAACAUACCUGGAGCAGUUGCUUCUUUGGUUUUUUCAACACUCACUACGGCCAGUGAUCCGCCAGUAGAUGCGGAUAAGGCAGCACUUGCGGAACCCGAUGCAGCGGCGGGAACUUCCGCCGAAUGGAUGACAUCUUGAAGCAUCGACAUGGUAGCUCCAAGAUGACCGGAGUCAACCCCGGGCACCUCCUCAACGAUCAAAAUCCUCAAAAGGAGCAGAUAGUAUAGUCGGGGGAUCCGACCCUACCCCUGCCUCAACAGGGAUAGUUUCUUCCGCAUACCUGCAUCAAGACAAGUCAUUAGACGACUUCAAAAUGACUUAAAGAUAUACACCGGGUAAUGUAAGCUCACCGAGUCGAACAUGGCGGAAGUCGCACACGUUUCUUCUCGACAACAGGUGGCCGAGUAAUUGGCGCCGCUGGAACAGCCACCGGCAUUGUCUUCUCGCCAAGACCUGUGAAGCAAAGGUCAAGACUACAAAUCCACUCGGAUCAACGAAUCCAGCCGAGGCAGAACACUUACCACUGGCGAUCACACUGGACAGCAAAGAACCAGUAGCGAGUACUAGCGACACUUCCUUUACAACACCCGCUGAUUCAGCAGGUAACCCCAGGACCACCUGGUUAGCAAUGGGCGGCAUGACAACCGAUGGAGUCGGCGCAGAUAGCUCGGGGGCUACUCCAGUUUCUGUUGAUGGCACCUUCUCUGGCACCAUGUCAACAGAUACAUUACCGACUUCUGGGUCGGUCACGACCAUUUCUUCAGAAACAGCCUCAUCAUCACCAAGCGUCGUAUCUACAGCCUUUACGAACAAAACAAAAUUCGUCGCAUCAAUAGCAAGUUCAAAUUCAUCAGCUACAGAUACGUUCACGACUACAUACCUUUGUACCCCGAGACUUCUCAGGGGUUGAAGCAGACUUAGCCGCAGACAUCUUGCGGACUACUCUACGUCUCUUGACAGGAGGAGAAGGCUCGUCCUCCGACUCCUCAGCAACAGCUUCUGACUCUUCUUCCGACUGUGCCAAGUAGCCGGCAAGAACUCGAGACUACAAACAACAAGUCGGUAUCAACAACAAAUAUCACAUAAGUCAAAAGAAAACAAGUCAGGUGCAAAAGACAUACCACUUCUGGCUCAUACCAGACGUCAUACUGACGCAGAGCCGCAGGGAUUACUGGUACUCCCUGGUAGUUCCUGAAAAACUUGGCCAGCAGCGCCUCUACAUCAUCAUCCGAUAUAUCCUCAUCGGACAUACGCGAUGGAUCUUUAAGACCCGUGUACUCACUUCCCGAGUGAGCACGUUUUUGAAGCGGCUGAACUCUUCUCUUCAGAAAGCUGGCCGCCACAUUAAUCCCAGUCAGCCCGAGUGCCUUCAACUUGGUGAUUUGCUGCAUCAGGUGGUCUAGCUCGGGAGUAUCUUCAGGUUCGCUCACCCAGUAUUCUGCAUGCUUGGGCACGUGACCAGUCACCACAAGCAAGCGAGGUUCAUGGUUCCCGAUGUAGAACCACCUUUUUUUCCACUCCCCAUGGGAGUCAGUCAGAUUAUACUCAAUAUAUGCGCCCGAGUUCCUGAGUUGGAACCCGGCGCCUCCAAAGACUUCUGUCCUAUGGACACUAGGCUGCGGCUUACAGCGGAACAAUUUCCUAAACAACUCGAUACUCGGAGGAACUCCCAAGUACACUUCGCAGAGGUGUACGAAAAUUGACAUAUGCAGUACACCAUUGGGGUUCAAAUGGACAAGUUGGAGUUUGUAGAACUCGAGGAUACCUCUGAAGAAGUUGGAGGUGGGCACCGCCACCCCCCUCUCCACAAAGUGCGCGAGCAUCACUGUCUUGCCUGGAUGCUCCUCAAAUUGCCAUGCAUUGGGAAAUGCGAGGCGCCACUCCAUAAUUUCUUUCGGCUGAAGAAGCUUCGCAUCGACUAGUGCUUGAACGGCCUCCUCCUUCAUCACUGAAUGUUGCCAGGUUGCCCCAGGCGGCAGCGGUGCAGUCUGGUUCAUCGGCCCCACCUUCGGUGCCGGCAGCACCAGCUCCUUCACCUUCUUGGAUUUCGCCUUGCCCAUCGCCGGAGCCUGGCCCUGAAUCUUCUCGGGUUUCUUGCCCAUCUUCUUAGUGCGCAUCCGACGGACUCAACUUCAAGCUAAAAUGACACUCUCCCUCGGAUCUCCCUCAAGGGACGACAAUGGCGGCGGCGGCACUUACGGCGGUGCAAAUGUGAGCAGAAGAACAGGGGAGGCAGAAAAACAGAUCUGAUUACCGUACGGCAUAAAACCAACCGAAAGGGUACCUUCCACUUUUAUCUCCGCCAGCUCCGGUUUCCAUGCGUCAGUUGCGCAAUGGAUAGAUUAAUUGCAGAUUAAUCGCCUUUAACACUCAACGGCUACUCUUUUCAACGGACUGCUGACCACUUCAACGACAGAGAUCGCCCAAGUGCUCGGGGGCUGCGGGUACCGUACCCGUUGGUCAGUUUUUUCUUUUUUUACCAAGAUCUCCAAGGGUAAAAUGGACAAAAGCUAGUUUGACCCUAAGCCUGACUCUUCGACUCAACCUAAGGCUCGGGGGCUACUCCAUAUGGAGUGCGAUUGACAUCGCACUACCAUAUAAAAUUACUCGGGAUGGAAACAACUCGAAGGAGCAAAAAGAGUACCUUCCAGCCACGCGACAGUACUCAAGCACUUCAGUCUGCAACCUCUAUGACUAGCUACUCGGAUAGUGCCCGCAGUGCUAGACUGUGGCGCAAGACUACAAAGUACUCUAGGGCUUGUCAGGCAUACACCCCAGGUCCACGAGUAGGCCUUGGACGGCCCACCAAGGGACGUACUCGGACAAGAUCGGAACAAGAAUGGGCAUAUCCUACUCGGACUAGUCAAGUAUGUUUAUGGAAAACUACUCGGGCCGUUACCGAGUAGAACUCUGUAAUAGUACCCGACUAGGACUCAGACUUGUAACCCUGCCCUCCCGUGUAUAUAAGGGCGGGCAGGGACCCCCCUCAAGGGGGGGACGACAACAACUCCAGUUCAUCAAAUACAAACCAACACACAGGACGUAGGGUAUUACGCGAUCUAGCGGCCCGAACCUGUCUAAAUCGUGUUCCUUGCGUCACCAUUGAUUCCUUGAUUCCCAACGACCCUUACCGCAUAAAAGACCACCUAGGGUACCCCCUAGGCGGGUUUCCGGUCUAAAACACCGACAGGGGGCUCCACCAUGUCCGCGAAUGGCUGUACUACAUCUGACAACCGUUGGAGUUGUUCUUGUUGCGACUUGAUAGUAGUCAUGGCCUCAACUAGGCUAGUAUCACCAUCCAGCCGCAUCUUCUUCUCCUUCUCCAACUAAGCCUUAUGCUCUUCAUUAUCCUCCGACACCCGAUAGUAGGCGUUCUUCCAGUUGGUUACGGUACAUAAACCUAUGGUUCAUUAAGUUAAUUUUAGAAAAAGAUUUUAAUGCCUAAUAAAUUCACAAAGAAAAAGAUUUUAAUGCCUAAUAAAUUCACAAAGAAAAUGAUCUCAAACAAAUUCUAGAGAAAUUAUAAUUAAUUUUUAUCAACUUGCAAAUGAUGAAUAUUAGGGUGUUAAAAACCUACCCCUUUAAAAUGAAUCUCGUCCUCUAGAUUCAGAUGGGCUGGCAAUGAGUUGAGAAAAUUCUGCCUUCAGCUCAUUGUCUCGUUGCCAUGUAGCUUCAUCUUCUGAAUGAUAACUCCAUUGUACCUUGCACAUCCUGAUUACCUUGUUCCUUGUAAUCCUUUCCAAUGUCUCCAAUAUUUUAACUGGAUACUCAGUAUAGGUUGAGUCAUCCUGCACAUUCAGCUCUCCCAUAGGCAAUUGCUCCUCUGGUACUCUUAAGCACUUCUUCAGCUGAGAUAUGUGAAAGACAUUAUGGACAUCUAAAAGUUGAGUUGGUAACUCUAACUGAUAUGCCACUUCUCCUCUUCUUUCCAAUACCUUGAAUGGGACAAUGCAGGGAGGUUCUAACUUUCCUUUGACCUUGAAUCUCCGUAAUCCUCUUAUUGGUGAUACCUUCAAAUAAACAUAAUCACCUACUUCAAAGAUCAAUUCCCUAUGAUGGGUAUCAACAUAGCUCUUUUGCCUCAAUUGUGCAGUUCUCAAAUUCUCCCUAAUGACUUGCACUUUACUUUCUGCAUCACGUAUGAUCUCUAACCCAAACAAUUGUCUCUCUCAAGUUUCAUUCCAGAAUAAUGUCUGCACCUCCUUCCAUACAGAGCUUCAAACGUAGCCAUCUUGAGACUGGCCUUGUAACUGUUGUUAUAAGAGAACUCUGCAUAAGGUAAACACUUAUCCCAACUUUUACCAUACUGGAGAGCACAGGUUCGCAACAUAUCUUCCAAUAUCUGAUUGGUCAUCUCUGUCUAACAAUCCGUCUGAGGAUGAUAAGCAGAACUAAAGUUCAACCUUGUGUCCAUAGACUCAUGUAACUGCUGCCAAAAUCUUGAUGUGAACUGUGUACCUCUGUCUGAUACAAUCUUCUUAGGCACUCCAUGUAGGUAGACAAUUCUGGACAUAUACAACUCUGCUAAUCUAGCUCCCGUGUAAGUGGUCUUGACUGGUAUAAAGUGAGCAACUUUGGUCAAUCUAUCCACUAUAACCCAUAUAGAAUAAUAUCUAACAUGUGUGCGAGGAAAUCCCACAAUGAAAUCCAUACUAAUCUCCUCCCACUUCCACUGGUAUUUUCAAUGGCUGAAGCAAUACUGCUAGCCUCUGGUGUUCAGCUUUAACUCUUAGACAGGUAUCACACAGAACAACAUACUGAGCAACAUCUCGCUUCAUACCAUACCACCAAUAUCGUUCCUUGAGAUCUUGAUACAUCUUAGUACUACCGGGAUGAAUGGAGUAGGCGGAAUCAUGGGCUUCCCUCAAUAUCAGCGCCUUGAGAGGUUCCAAAUCUGGCACACAGAUUCGAUUUCAAAGCCAAAGCGUUCCUUGAUCAUCUAUCCUGUAGUUAGGUGCUUUCCCUUUCUUCAUUAGUUGUUUAAUUUCUUUGAUCUUGGCAUCCUCAAGCUGGCCUUUCCGUAUCUCUUGUUCCAAGGUAGGUUCCACUUCCAUAGUUACUGCUUCUGUAUGAGCAACUACUCCAAGGUUGAGCCUAUCAAAUUCUUUAAACAACUCCUCAGGUAACUGGUGUACUAGAGCCAUGUUAACAUGUCCCUUUCGACUCAAAGCAUCUGCUACAACAUUCGCUUUGCCAAGAUGAUAAUGUAUCUCCAGAUCAUAGUCCUUGAUCAACUCCAACCAACGGCGCUGUCUCAGAUUGAGGUCCUUCUAAGUGAAGAUAUACUUCAAGCUCUUGUGGUCAGUGUAGAUCUGGCAUCUGGUUCCCAGGAUGUAUUGCCUCCAAAUCUUUAAAGCAUGAACUUCUGCUGCUAACUCCAAAUCAUGAGUAGGGUAAUUCUGCUCAUUCUUCCUCAAUUGCCUAGAGGCAUAGGCUAUAACAUGUCCUUCUUGCAUAAGCACACAACCAAGGCCUUAACGAGAUGCAUCAUAAUAAAUAUCAAAACUCUUGUGAAUAUUAGGCAUCACUAGCAUUGGGGCUGUAGUCAACCUCUUCUUCAACUCUUCAAGAUAUUUAGUGUAGUAAAAUAAUUGUUUUCUAAAUAAAAUUCAAAGAAUCAUAUGUUAUAUUUUGUAUGUUACAUUCGUGCUGCUGCAUAUAAAUUUUGGUUGCUUAGCAUAAUUUAUUAUCAUUGUUCCUGGAUUUGAUCAGGGUUAACAUAUCUUUUGCUUCAGCUAUCUGAAUUUAUGCCAAUAGGAAAUACCCAUUUCUUCUAUUUUUCUUAUUCCUUUUAUCUCCUGCUUGCAUGGUUAGGCCUACUUGUUAGCACCGGAACUAACAAAUAUCUCAUUGUUAAUAACGAUCGUGCAUUGGGCGUUUCAAAAAGCAAUCAAGAGUUCAUGAAGGUCUUGUGCAGAGUAUGGAAACUCAUCCGGGUCCUGGUUCAUUAAACUAUUGCAGCAUUCUCAUCCGGGUCCUGGUUCAUUUUAAGUUUACUCGAGGUCCAACCACGGACCUCAAUUUACACGUGAAAUGAGCCACUUUAAAAGUUGAGGGACUCAAAUGAUCUCUUUGAAAAUUCACUCGAAUAGGAAUAAAGCAGAGAGUCGUCACCUCAGACUUAAUGCACGAUGUCUGAGCGCCCACCUUACCUGGCCAGGUCACUGGUCCUGCCCUCGUGGUUCACGCGCUAUGAUGUGGCAUGCAGACAAGCUAUGAUAUGCCAUCAGUGGUCAGUACACAAAUCUACCAGUCGGAUCCAAGGGGAGGCAUUUGCAUGUGCUCACACACGGGCGCCCUACAUCCCGCCACAGACAAAACGUGUACAAAGGCUAUUGUUGCUAGCUCAAUUUUUUUUUUCUUUUGACCUGCAUUGCACGUGGAGCAUGUAUAAGCCCUCAAAUCGAGCAACACUAUUACAGACAGCUCACACAAUGACAGUCACUGUCAAGCAUCAAUUGCUGAAUUAUGAGCUGAGCAACCAGGACAAGCUUAUUCGAAAAAAAAAACAACAGGACCAGCUUAUGAUGUGCCAGUCAGAUGCUGACCACGUGUACUUGGCUAUUUGCAACUUUUGAUCACUGCCAAAUAGGAUUUGUAACACCAGUCUGUCUGUUGGAUCGAAGGGGAGGCAUGCGCAGCAUCUUGCAUUGCAUGUGGACUCACUAGCGCGCCCACGUUGAACUUGUGUGAUGGCAGAACCGCAAGCACUGACGACGGGACAUUCUUAUUUUUGCUUAUUUACUUCCAUCCAUUUGACGUGGUGCAUUCGUAUAUACAUAUCUUACCUAGGUGACCGUCGAUAGUGAAGCAUCUAUGCCUACUUUAUCAAUCUUAAAAUCUACCGACCUACUCUUUCGAAUGUUUUUACAUAGGUAAGUUUGGAAGCUGAGGAAGCAAGGCAUCUCACCUCUUUUCCUUCCUAUUAAUAAAGCGAGCAACGUUUCUACCAAAAAAUUUUGUAUGUCACCGCCUAAUUUAAUUUUAGUUAUUCAUUACAUUAUUAUAUCCACGCAGCCAGGGCUUUCACGCCUGUCCGAGCCCAAAACAGCCCUAGCACCUAUUCCAGUCGGCACACGCCACAUGAUGGCAUGAGGCGCACAUAUAUACUCCAUCCAUCCAAUGAAAAGUGACAUUCUAGCAUUUAAAAAAAUCACAUAAAAGAGUGCAAUCCAAAGAAUUAGAUGUAGUUGCCUAAUCAUGUGGUUAUUUAAUUUGCAUGCCAAAAUUUACUGCAUGGGGUCAAUAAAUUUGGUUAUGGGUGCCUUUUCACACCACCACUAAUCUAUCUGGAAAAAAUUGCACCUUUUCACUCUACAGUGAGAGUAGCAUGUAGGGGCUAUAGGCAAAAAAAUCACAUGUCGCUUUCAACAUAUGCAUCCCGUCCUCUAUUUUCUCCAUCCUUUCUCAGUCUUUCACAGGGAUAGGACACCAGGGACCCGACACCAUCCAUAUCGAUUUCAUGUUAUUAAUAUUUAAUUUAUGAAUGGUUGUUGAAACUAUAUUGUUAAUAUUUUUAUACAUAAUUGAAGAUCUAUUUUUGAUAUAUUUUUUGAAAUAUUCUAAAAUCUUAAAUUCACACGUCUAGAGAUGUACAGUUCGUUCAAUCUCACGUUUUUCAGAUAAAAAUUAACACAAAGAGACUGAAAAGGGAGAGAUGUGAGAGGGAAAGUGAAAUUAGGGCCCAAGGGGUGAAGUUAGGAUUCCAGGCGAGCUGUAUGCCCUUGCUUGAAACUUUUUGGUAGCACAAAAAAACAUGAAAUGUCUAAUAUUUGCAAUGUUAAAAAUAAAAUAAUAUAUUCACUUGACCUUUGUCCAUAGCUAGUGGGACAUAAUGCACGACGCCUGAGCGUCCACCGGGCCUGCCCUCGUGGUUCACGCGCACCAGGACGGCAGACGUACAGGCUAUGAUGUGCAGCAGUGGCUCAGAUGGCUCAUACAGGCCCUCAAAAAGAUUGCUGCCUCACCUCAUCAGCUGCAAGACUGCCAUUGGACAUGGCCCAGUAAUUCAGAAGCGAGCAGUGGAGACAGGUCAAACAACGACAGUCACUGUCAGGCAUCAAUUGCUUAUGAGCUGAGCAACCAGGACAAGCUUACGGUGUGCCACUCAGAUGCCUAACAACUAAAAAAUGACACUAAGAGAGUAAAAUAAAAUAACUAAAAUGUGCUUGACCGUUUGCAACUUUUGGUCACACAAAUAGGAUUUGUAACAACACCAAUAUAUCUGUCGGGUCGAGGGGAGGCGCAGCAUGUUCAUUGCAUUUGUGGAGGCUCGAGAGCGCCACUACUACAUAAAAAAACGUUUUUACCACCAGCUAAAUUUGCAUUUAUGAUCGCCGAAACUUGGCCCGACUUUUCGAAUUAAAAUUAGACAUCUGUGGGGGUGGGACACAGUCCGGUCCAGCAUAUACAUUUGCAGGGGCGGGAUACCUCGUCACCCUGCACUGAAAACUGAUUAAAAAUAAAAAAUCUAGGCCGCAGUGUCCUCCUGCGUUGUCGGCCCAUGCACACUGCAUGCACAAGCCAAACGCCGCCGAGGAGGGACCUAGCGCCGAAGGCCGAGUCGCAGCCAUGUGGGGGAGAGAGAAGGUACAAUAAGAAUGGAGGAUGGGCGGGGAUGGUAUAAAGGAGAAGGCUGCACGCAGGGAAAGUACAAAGGAGGAUGGGUAGGGAUAUAUAGUAUAAUGAGAAGGUUGAGUGCCGGGGAUCGCUAAAAAGUCAGUAACCCUCGAACUUCGGCCUAACCUCGAACUUCGGCCUAACCUCGCAAGUUGCGUGUCGGCAGCAAGGAAAGGGGAGCCCCUUUAACCUCGCAUGUUCUGUGUGAGGCACCUCGAAGUAAAUCUCGUAUCCUCACGUUGCCUCUACCCCCGGAAGGACUCGAGGGUAGUGAUUGACAACAAUAAUGACUAACUUCCAUUGGAUUAACCCUCAAGUGUUCGGAGUUGGUUUCGGACACCGAGUUUUCAUCCUUGUACUAUUUACUCAGGAAUGAUGCUCGAGUAUGAACUGCUCGAGGUUAAGACCUUUCGUCAGGACUUUGCGAAGCUGAAGCCUCAAGGCUACGUGCCCAGCUUAGGAUGUGAAUGAAGCCUCGAGGCUAGAUGACUAGCUCAGGAUGCAGUUGAAGUCUCGAGGUUAACGGGUGGAAGGCAUGAGAAACAUGAACAUGUGGAGAAGUUUAAUUUGUACACAUGUUCCCUAAUGACCUUUCUGAACGGCAUAUCCUAAGAAUAUAGUGGUUGAACAAGGGUACUUUCGGAAUAUAAAGUAGGCCAUGAGUCAUAAUAAAAGGGUAGCCCUACCCUAUUGUAAAGGGAGAUCAGUUUUUCCAAUUGAGAAGUGUGCAUUGUUCUCUUUGUAAUCCUAAAUCUGUUCGGUAUCAAUUUCAUUUGAGACCAAUAGGGCGCCCACCGUGAUUUUAGCCGCAAAACAACCCAUGAUGCGACAAACGAAGAAAAAGAAGACUGCACCACAGGGAGCCGCUGAGGGUGAAAGAGAGAAUCCUGUGGCUCAAGAAAGAAGACUUGUCCCUAUUGAUCAAAAUGAUACAGAUACUAUAGAGAAGUUAAAGAGAGUCAAGGCUAACUGAAGAACAAGAAGCGAAAACAAGAGCUGAGGUAGAAGUAGCAAAUCUAGCACAACCCGAGUCAAGCACAAGAAACGAUCAAUUCAGUGCAGCAGAAAAGGAGUUGGCCUUGGUGCUAAGGCAACUCGAAGCUCUAAACCAAGAAAAAGAGAAGUUUGCUCAAGAACUAGAAGCCCAACAUCUACCAGCCCAAAAAAUAGCAAAACUAAAUUAAGCAAAACAACAGUUGGCAGAAUUGCAAGAAGAGUUGGAUGAGUUGAAAUAUUUACAAAAUACGCCACCACAAUCAUCACCACCACCUUCGAGGCAGUAACCUGUCAUGAACACAGCAAACAUUCCGCAAAUGGAUCCUAACCUCGCUGGGCACAACGUUCAAUGGGCAAAAUGACCCUCGUCAAAUCCUCAUGAGCCACGAGGCUACAGUAGCAUCAGCUGAAGGAGAAGACGUAGUCUUAGCCAAGUCCCUAAUCAUAGCCUACGAGGGUGCCGUGCUGAACUAGUACUUAUUACUUCCACUGCAGUUAGUAUACAGCUAGAUCGAUCCCAAAACAAAGCUUAUACAAAACUUCCAAGGCUUCCAUCGUGCAACAACAGACUUGGGUGACUUGUUCCAUUGCGUCCUGAGAGAUAAAGGACCUCUAGCCAAUUAUGUCAAAAGAUUUGUACAAUUGAAGUCACAAACCCCAGAUGUGGAUGAAAGCAUAGCCAUAGUAGCAUGCAUCAAAAGGCUACACACAAGGCCCGACAGCCUCGCACAUAACAAGAGAAAAAUCCAAAACCAUGGAAGCUCCGUUCAAGUUGGAAAAAUACUGCAGGUCAGACGAGGACCAUAGGAAAAGAGUAAUGGAGAGGAAUCGCCAAAGGCAAAUCCAAAAAGAUCAGAAUUGGCCAGCCCUAAAAUACAAUUUCACACAGCAUCAACGGCCAUAUCUAGCUCAACAUGUGCUACCGAUCGAGAGUGCUCAACCCUCACAACAACAAAGCCAAAAUCGGAAUGGGCAACCACAACAACAAUAUACAAAUCAUGGCAAUGUGCAGAGAGGAGGCCACUAAGGUAGUGGAAGGGGCUGAGGCAGAGGACCUCCUAGGCCACAAAAUCAAAACAACCAGCCUCGAAUGUUCUAUUGCACAUUUCAUGGCAAACUACUAGAUCACGCAACCGAUUUCUAUCCAGAAACAAAAAAGACCUUCGAAAUGAUAGUAAGGAAAAAAGAGCAGCCGCAGCAGCAUCGCUAAAAACCAUUCACCACACUUCUUUUCUGGCCACAACAGCCAUACUGCCAAGUUUACCCACAAAUAAACACCAACACUAGUCAUACCUUAUAAAUUCAUUUACCAACCCUUCUUUCAAUUACCAACCCACCAUGAUGUGGCAACCAUCGUUGUAGUUUCAAUCUCAAAGUCAGCUAGCCUCGCAAACUGAAAGUUUCGCACCACCUUAGCCUCUGCAAGAAAUACCACAACCUCCGCCAAACCUGCCAAAUCAAAUACCUAAGGUUGAACUCAAGAAUGGCCAAAACAGUAAUCCCAAAGCCCUACCCACCUACGGCAUGAUCAGGCCAAUAUCAAGGGCCUCCUCGCAAGAGUUCGAAAAUGCCCAAAACACCAAAUCCAACGCCUUGCCCACCUACAGCAUGAUCAUGCCAAUAGCAAGUGGAUCUUCACUAGAAUUUGAGAACAAGAAGCAAAGGUAAAAUUACUUCAGACAAAUCCAUUUGAUCAUCCGUGAUGGACCACCAGCCAAGCCAGAAUGGGCACAGAUGCCAAUCUCCUUCACUAAAGAAGACUUCAAACUCAAAACAGUCUCACAUAAUCAUGCGAUGGUAAUCGAGGCUAUUGUUGCAGGAUGGACAAUCAGGAAAGCACUAGUUGACAAUGGAAGCUCAGCAGAUAUCAUGUUUGCAAACACAUUCAUAGAAAUAAAAAUUGAUCCUCACCUAAUACAGCUAGCAGAAAGACCAUUACUUGGUUUUGGUGGAAUGCCAGAGCGAGCCUUGGGGAAAACUACAUUACCAGUAUCAUUUGGAAACCUAGACAAUGCCAGAACGGAACACAUAACAUUCGAUGUUGUGGAAAUGUACUAUCCAUACAUUGCUAUCAUUAGAAGGAGAUUCAUCAACAAGUUUGAUGCUGCAAUAAUGUAGUUGUUCUUGUUUAUGUAGAUCCCAGCUCUGAAAGGAGUUAUCACAAUAAAUGGUGACUAGCAAACAACCAUGGAUAUUGAAAAAGGUGCAACCCCGGGAUAGAAAAAUGUACAUCACUUAGAAAGUUCAAGCGAGGUUGAACCCUCGGAGAAGAAGAAUCAUAUGUCAAGCGAAAAAGAGAUAAAGAAAAGUAAAAAUGACUGCAAAUGGCAAAACAAAAAGAGUACUGCUAGACGAACAUGUCCUCGAGCUGUAAUCAUCGAUGCUACCUUGAGCCCAACGAAGAAGAGCAACUGAUCGCGUUCUGGAAGAAGAACAUGGAUAUCUUCGCAUGGCCUGCAAGGAGUAGACAGAGAUACAAUAGAGCACAAGUAAGAAAUAAACAAAGGUGGGAGACCAAUAGCCAGCCAAUGCCAACGUAAUAUGCGCAGUUAUGUAUCCUGAUCAAGAAGAAAAAUGGCAAAUGAAGACUGUGCAUAGAUUUCACCGACCUCAACAAGGCAUGCCCAAAAGAUGACUUUCCGUUAGAAAGGGUUGACAAGGUGGUAGAUGACGCUGCAAGCAGCAAAAUGUUGUCACUACUAGAUAUGUUUUCAAGUUACCAUCAAGUACAAAUAAAAAAAGAAGAUGAGGAGAAGACGAGUUUCAUCACUCCAUUCGGGACCUACUGUUUCGUCAGAAUGCUCGAGGGUCUCAAGAAUGCGGGGUCAACUUUCACAAGAAUGAUAGCAAUAGUCCUAAGCACACAGCUUCGAAGGAACAUCCUAGCCUAUGUGGAUGAUAUCAUGGUGAAAAGUGACAAACGAAAAGAUCAUAUUCAUGACCUCACAGAAACUUUCGCCAACUUGAGGACAACAAAUCUGAAGCUGAAUCUAGAAAAAUGCUUAUUUGGAAUUAAGUGAGGCGAGGUGCUAGGAUGCCUACUCUCAACCAAGGGCAUCGAGGCUAAUCUAGAUAAAAUUCAAGCUCUUGUCGACAUGAAAGAGUCUUUUUCACUGAAAGAUGUGCAAAAGCUGACAGGAAGAAUAGCAGCCCUUAACAGAUUUAUCCAGAGAGCAGCCGAAAGAAGUCUACCUUGCUUCCAAGUACUGCGGAACUCCAAAAAGUUUGAAUGGGGAGAGUAGAAAAGCAAUGCUUUUGCAGACUAAGAGAUUACUUGACAAGCAUGACGAUGCCCACCCAAACCAAAAUCUCCCUUGUUGUUAUGCUUGUCAGCCUCGAGCUCUGCAGCCAGCAUUGCCUUAGUGCAAGAAAAGGAAAUCAAGGGCAAACCAAGACAAACUCUAGUAUACUUUGCCUCAGAAGCAUUGUCGGGGGCAAAACUGUUCUACUCAGAGCUAGAAAAAAUCGCUUAUGUUGUAAUCAUGGCAGCUCACAAGCUAAGGCAUUACUUCGAGGGCCACAAGAUAGUGGUGGUCACCAACCAGCAGCUUCAUGAUCUUCUCACAAACAGAGAAGCCUCAGGAAGAAUCACAAAUAGAGAAGCCAGUAUGGGCAUCAUAAUUGUCCAAAUACGUGGUGGACUUCGAGAGAAGAAGUGCAAUCAAAUGAUAAGUCCUAGCUGAUUUCAUAGUCGACUGGACAUCACCAUGCAACAAUAAAAAUGAUCAGAUCGAGGUUCCAUGGGUCAUAAAUUGUGACGGGGCUUGGUGUGACAAGGGGGCAGGAAUGUUGGCAAUUAUCACUUCACCCUCAGGCGUCAAAAUCAGAUAUGCCGCAAGGCUCGAUUUCAAGGGCAAGGCAAGGUCCACCAACAACACAACAGAAUAUGAAGCACUACUUAUGGGUCUAAGGAAAAUGAGUGCAUUGGGUUAGCAAGUAUUCAUAGUAAAAUUAGAUUCCUAAGUGAUUUAAGAGAACAUUGAAAAUGAAAGUGAGGCUAGAGAGCCAGAGCUUGUGAAGUACUUAGCCGCAGUAAGAGCCAUGGAAAGGGUUCACCAUUCAGUACAUCCCAAGGGUAGAAAACAAUGACACAAACAAAUUAGCAAAAGCAGCUGCGCAAAAUCAAACCAUGCCACCUGAUGUAGUCUAUGAGGUCAUACACUCCUCAUCAACUAGAGAGCUAGCGCCGAGAGUCGUAAAUGCAAUCACUAGAUUCGAUUGGAGGGCACCAAUCAUGUCCUACCUCAGAGGACACUAUGAGCCUCACGACAAGGUUGAGCUAAAUAGAAUGAAGCAAAGGGCUAGGGGCUACGCCAUGGUUGACGAUGAGCUGUACAAAUCUUGGAUCUUAGCUCCUUGGCUGCGAUGUAUAACUUCGAAGAGUGGGAAAGAACUGCUAGCAGAAAUCCACAAUGGGUUUUGCGGUUCUCAUAUCGAAACCAGAGCGCUAGUAGGCAAAGCCGUGAGAUAGGGUUUUACUUGGCCAAUAGCAAUCCUAUAUGCCCGAAGCUUAGUAAGAACUUGCGAGGCUUGUCAAAAGACAACUAACUAGCAAAAAACACCCUCGCUGCCAUACAACUCAUACCACCAACUUGGCCAUUAAAAAGAGGCGGAAUGGACUUAGUAGGGCCAUUACCAACCGCACAAGGCAACUGCAAGUUCGCAAUAGUAGCGGUUGACUACUUUACCAAAUGGAUCGAGGCUAAGCUACUAGCAAACAUAUCCUCAAGCUCGGUGCAAAAAUUCUUUUGGCAGAACAUCAUCUGCAGGUUCGGGGUUCCUAGGGAACUAACAGUGGACAACGGAAAAUGGUUCGAUUGUAAUGAUUUCAAAGAAUUUUGUGCAAGCAUGGGGACCAAGUUAAAAUUUGCAUCAGUAUAUCACCCACAAUCCAAUGGGGUUGUUGAGAGAGCAAACGGGAUAAUCUUCUCGAGUAUCAAAAAAUGUUUGUACAAUUAGAAAAAAGGGAAGUGGAUUGAUGAACUCCCAAAAGUCAUUUGGUCCCACAACACUACUGCGUCAAGAACAACAGGUUUCAUACCCUUCCGUUUGUUAUACGGCUCCAAGGCUAUGGCUCCAGAGGAAAUAAAGAAUGAAAGCUUCUGAGUACUCAAAAUCGAGGCUUCCUCAGAGAACGAAAAAAAUCGACAAAGACAUGAUUGAGCUUGACAUAUUACAGGUAGUUGAAAACCUCGACAAAUAUCAGCAAGAAACCAAAAAGUGGAGGGAUAUGAAAAUAGUGAAGAAAAAGAUCUAGAUAGGAGACCUAGUAAUCAAAAAGAGAAAGAACUGGGAGAACCUCGGGAGUUGCAAGAAACUUGGGAAGGGCCUUACGUUGUCACUCGAAACAACAGGCCAACAUCCUUUUACCUUGCAGAUCAGCUAGGAGCAGUGUUACCACAUUCUUCGAAUGUGGAUAACUUGCGCAAAUAGUACCCAUAGUCGCCAAAAUUGUAAAAACCCUUGGCCUGUAAGUCUAUAAACAGUGUUGAGGGUAGAAAAUUUACUCCUGCAUUUACUUUCCAGCAAAUGGACCGUACUCUUUUUCUUGCUAGGGGGCUCCACAAUGGAGGCAAGGUUUUUAACAAGGCGGAUCCAUGUAAACCUUUACAUUUUAAUGCAGUACAAUUCCCCUGAAUCUCAUGUUUACUAAGCCUCAAAAGGGCUACUACAUUGCAUUUUUGUGCAAGUAGAAAGCAUUGCAUUCUGUGCAAGCUGAGGCCAAAGCAGCAGCAAGUUGCGGCAAAAUCUUGCAUUUUUGUGCAAGGAAAAACUUGCGUUUCAGCACAAGCAUUGGGUGAAAGCAACAACAAGUUGCAGCACCAACUUUACUUUUCGAAUAACUUGAUCCUUGCAUUUCUGCGCAAGUGAAACCUCGCAUUUCUAUGCGAGAAAAAACUCAUGUUUCUGCGCAAGCGUUAGACAGAAACAACAAGUUGCAGCACCAACUUUACUUCCAAGAAUACCCCGAAUCUUGCGUUUUUGCACAAGCAAAGCCUCGCUUUUGCCAAUACCAUACUCAUCUAAACUACUAUCUAACCUCGCUAGAUUUACAGCUCUAUGAUCGAAGCAACCAAGAGUUGUGAAUUCGACCCGACUUGUCAUUUAACUUUCUAAGUUCGCAAAACUCGGAGCAAGUUUUUGCCUACUUAUUACAUGAAAACUGGUGUAUAAAAAUCCCACAUGAAAGUUAAACACCUCCAGACCUUUUUUACAAAAUCAAUAACUACCGCACGAAAAAGUGUAAAAGAUACAAAGCUUCGAGGAUACCUCUGUCAUCAACCAAAUACGCAAACAGCAUAACCCUCACCAAAAGGAAUGGAAGGGGGGUGACGUUUCUCACUAAAAUCAAAUAUUCCUUGUCGUCUCAGGUUAUGACACUUAGACAGAAAACCCUUUAAAAGAAUAACAAAAUAUAUUUCUCGUAAUAACAUCUUGCAACAAAAAUCUCCGCAAAAAGGAACAAAAGGCGGGGUGACGUUUUCCAAGGAAAAACAACAUUUAUUACUAUAUGCUACGAGUUUCGUUACAAGUGAGAAUGACAAUUUGAUUUACAUGACCAGGUUUCAAACCUUGAAACUCUGCAGCAUCACAUACAUAGGCGAAAUCAAACUCAUGACUUUGUGGACUAAGGGGCUUCGAUUUCACCCUCGAAGCUUCAAAUAUUUUUUCUUCCAUCAUACCAAGUGCAUAACCAUCAUAGGACUCAAAAUAGCGACCCAGCAUAAAGCUUUGCAUGGAAAAGUAUUCACAGCAAAAGCACUAGAAAUCAUGAAAACUAGCGUCGGGAUGAAAAGUACAAAAUAGACACCAAGCAUGACCAUUGGCAACAACAUUUCACAAUGAAAUCGAAGAGGAAGUAUGUCCUGCGUAGGCCCAUCACCUAGGACCUGGUGCAGGUUAAAUUACAACCAACAACUGCUUGAGUUCUCGACCCUAAGCAAUACAUCAAAGAUUAAGUUUCCAAUUAAACCUAGUCUAGAGUCUACACCUCUUGUUGCUCCGAGCCUCCAACCUGGUUCUUUUCCUUCACAUCAGCUUCUUUAGCCUAUCACAAACAACCACGAUAAGAUAAAGAAAAGUAGUCUUAAGCAGAAUGGACAAAAGGAAAAGUCGAACCUCCAGAAUAUGACCACGAGCAACAAGCUUCGCCAAGUCGUGACCAGAAGCCUUCCAAAAUUCCUUCAAGAAAUUCUUCUUCACAAUCUGAACAUUUUUCGACAUCUCCUGUGCAUCGAGUCCUGAAGCAGAAGGAAACUUGUAACCGUGCACACCAAAUUUCAGGAAAUCUGAGCAAUUUUCCGCCUUGAGCAGCUUUAGCAUACCCUCGCAACACAACACGACUAGAAAACCCCCUCUGUAGCUACGCUAUAGUAGUAACGCACGCUAAAAGUGUCUCUACAUCAGCAUGUAAAGAUGUUUUUUGAUACAAUUUCGAAAAUGUGUUAGAUUGUUACGAUAUUAGACACGCUUAUAGUGUUAUUAGUCAUAUAAAGACAUUUCUUAACACGCUAUUGAAGUCGUCUCAAAAAGACACGGAGUUAGACACACUUUAAAGCGUCAUUAUCCCCCCUUAGAUACGCUGUAGUAGUAACACGGACUAAAAGCAUCUCUAUGUUGGCCCGUAAAGAUGCCUUUUGACAUGAUUUCAAGAACGUAUCAAAUUAUCACGAUAUUAGACAUGCUUACAACAUUAGUAGUCUUAUAAAGAUAUUUUUUAACACGUUAUUGAAAUCAUAUCAAAAUGACAUAAAGUUAGACACGCUUUAAAGCGUCAUUAACCUCUAGAUACAUUGUAAAGCGUACCUAGAAAAUUAUAUAUAGUCACACAAAGAUGCUUUUUAACACAAUUCUAAAAAUGUAUCAAAGUGAUACAAAUUUAGACAUGCUUCCAAUUAUCAAUAGCAUGUAGAUAUGUCGUAAAAGCGUAUCACCAUCCAUAGGCACGUAAACCAUAUAUUAAAUACUGAAUUAAAAAAGGAGAAAAAAGAUGAUGCACCAAGAGUUGAACGAUGACCUGUAGGCUUAAAAAGUACGGAACUAAAAACGUAAACCAUAUAUUAAAUACUGAAUUAAAAAAGGAGAAAAAAAAGAUGAUGUGCCUGGAGUCGAACGAUGACCUGUAGGCUUAAAAAGUACGGAACUAAAACAUUAUUAGUAUAUUUUAAAAAAAUGGGAAACAAAAAAUUAGUGAUGUGCCUAUAAUCGAGAUCUAACCUCAACCUUUGAAAACCGUACCCAAACCAUUGCACUAAUGAUGUAAUUUAAUUUGAUUGAGAACUAAAAUAUUAAUUGUAUUUCUUUGUAAGCCUCGAAUAAGGCCGCGACACCGAGGCCCGCUUGCUGCUUAUGAAGUGGGCCUGUGCACCUUUUUUUCUGGACCGAGGCCGUGCGUGUCCUUACUCUGGCUUGGGCCAUAUCCUGGGUCCAGCCCAUGCUCCUGGCCCAUGGCUCCUAAUAAAUUUACAGUUCAGUUUCGGCCCUGCGCAGCCUUCUAUUCUGGGCCGAGCUCUUGCUCCUCCUCUCUCUGAUUUGGACCGUGGCUCUUAAUAAUUAUAAAAUAAAAAUAGUUAGUAUGGAUGGGGUUUCGAACCCAUAAACAACUUUGAUGCAACUUGCCAGCCUCACCACUGGGCAACGAAAGGAAUUUGUUUUUUUUAUCAUAAAUAAUCCUAUUUAUAAAUUAUAUCUACACAUUUUUUUAACCGAAGUCAGCAUGGGAAGUCUCUACCUAUUCUUUUUUAGCAUUUUUUAUUUCAGACCCGUUUAAUUCGCUCCCACAAGGAGUUAAACCCGGACCUACUGGGUGCUAGCUCUAACCUCUAGGCUAGAGGUCCUUUCGCAAUUAUGUCUAUGCUUUAGUUGCUGUGACUUUUAGUUCUUAAAUUUUUAUUUUUAAUAAUGCACGAAGUGUUAGAAAAUUAUAAAAUUUGGUCAGAGACAAAAAUAAAUCCUUAUUGCAUCCAUGAAAAAAGUUUCAUUAAAAAAUCACCGUGAGAUAACGGUUUACUCCAUUUGAUCUUCAAUUGAAAUCACAUGUUUAUAGUCAACCUUGUCUAUUUCGUAUGAGAAUUUAAUAUAUUGUUGUUUCCAUAUGAUUCAUUUAUGUAAAAAAAAUAAUUGUAUUUUUAAGCAAAAAUAUACAUUUUUAGAAUUUAAAUAUAUUUAAGCCUAUUUGUUAUAAUUACUCAAAAUUUGAACUACAUGUGCUAUUAUAAUAAUAUUUAAUUUACUAAAAAGGUCAUAGAUGAGUAUUGGCAUACAUAUCAAAACUGUGUUUGAGUUUGGAAGGAAAAAAAAUGUUUGUGUACUUUACAAUUGGAGUUUCAUAGUUACUUAAUUGUUUUUAUUUUAAACAACACACAAAUCUUUUAUAGAAAAGUAUUAAAUUUUGUUGCCGACCAAUAUAUAUCCUUGUUACAUACACGAAAAAAGUUUCAUUAAGAAAUUAAAGUUCCGUAACUUCCUCCAUUUGGUGCUUAUUGAGAUCACGUGUUUAUAGUCAACAAUCUUCUCUCUAUCAAGAUUCAAUGUGACUAUUAAUUAAUUUUAUCUGGUUUAAUUGAGAACGAGGUAAGCAUAUGCUUGAUAUAGUUUUCAUUUGAGAGCACAUCCUCAUAGUCACCACUCUAUGUAUUACUAAGGUUUAAGUUAAUUAAUAGCUGAAUUUCAUAUGUUUUGUCUAUGUACAACGCAUAACUUCAACUUUUUUGCAGUAACAUAAUUUUGGAAUUCAUUCAAACUCAAUAAAAAUAUUAUAACCUUGAUUUGCCUUUUCCAUUUCACACAAAAUAUGAAUCAUUUUGCUCCUGUAAUUUAUUUUGAAUGUACAACAUGUCUUUACCUAUCCAAUUUUCAAAAUUAUUAUAAUUUUUUAAAUGAUUUUUGAAUAAUUUAUACUAUUUUGAGAAAUAGAGCAUGUUUCGCUAUAUGGCUAAAAUUUUUGGCGAUCAAACUCCCCACCUCAUGGGAAAUUGAGAAUGCCCCACUGAACAACCUUAUCUCCUCUUCUCCUUAACCGCCUGUCCCCUCCGUCUACUCUAUCUUCUCCACGACUCCACCUCCUUGGACCUCGCUCUUCCCCAGAUCCACCGCCGCCCUCCCUACCCCCACCUAUGAUCCGCUGCCGCGCUCCUCUCCUCAUCCCGUCGCCAUCCCUCAAACCAGCCACCGCGCGCGCCUCUUGCUCUUCCCCAAGAGCUGCCUCCAUCUCUCGCUCUUCUGUCCGCUGGUGGAGGUGUUGCAACCCGCAGUGCGAACGGCGGUGGAUCAUACCGUCACCGCGGCGGCGGGCUAUGGCAUCUGGAUCCGCACGGCCGCUAUGUCAUGGUAACUCUAAUCUAACCUUAAUCAUUUUCCUCUAGUACCCAACUGAUUGAUUUGCCUCGAUCCAUCGCCCAGGCCCAUCGCCCUCACCUUGAUCCGCCGCCGUCGCGGUGCUGGCGACCGGCUGAGUGCAUUUCCGUGAUUGGCACAACACGAUGCAGGGCCGUCUCCGUGGUCGCAAGUGGUUUCCAUCUCCCCGUCACUUCUUCGCCCAGCAUCCUGUCGCGCAAGCGGCGAGCCACCGUGAUGCAGCGCGCCAUGCUAUUGGCGAGGGUCACGGCUGUGGAGCUCUGCCUGGCAUUGAUUGCGGUGCUAGCUGCCGAGUGCAUGGGCUGGGACCUCGAUUCCUAUAGCCGCGCUGCAGUUAGUCAGUUCCGGUAUGCACAGAAAAGAAAUUCCCCGUUGUUUAUACAUUAUGGUUCGAGCAGAAUACCAUGCAGCGGUGAACGUCAUUGGCCUUUUGUACCUGCUCUUACAGUUCUUAGUGCUCUCGGAUCCCAUGAAGAAGAACAAGCAUUUGAUUUCCCAUACCAAGCGUGAUCUAUUUGACUUCAUCAUGGAUCAGGUUUGUGCUUAAUCACACUUUUACUGCUCCUUUUCCUAGGUUUCUUUAGGGCCCAAAUGCAUACAUUUAAAUUGUGCCAUCCUUUUAUAAAAUAGGAAUUUUUUUGUCAACCUAAUGUCUGAUUGCAAUGGAUCUUAUGGCUGUUAAUUCAUUGCUGUGCAAUAAAUAAUUAAUUAAAAAGUAACCUAAUGUAAAGGGAUCGAAUCACUUGAGAAUGGGUGAGCCUGAAGAUAACUUAAUCUUCUUUCAUCAGUCAAUACCAAUUUAUGUUCUAAUAUAGCUCUUGUAGUUCAGAUAUAAAGUGGCCUCACUGGAAUUCGAUCAUAUGUAUUUUACCCUGAUGUGCUACAGUUCUGAAUUAUAUUUUCUUCGCCUGGUCAACUCAAAUUAUCAUUUCCUUGCAUACAUUAGCAUCUUUCUUGCCAGUAUCCUUCAUCUUCAGCGAUUAGCGCCUUCAUUUUUUGUUGCAAUAUGAUGCAUGUAUGCUGAGUUUUAAAGAAGCAUGGCGAUUUGAUUGUUUGUAUCUUCCUAUAAACAUAACUUUAAUGUCCAUGCUACCUCUCGCUCACGAAUAAUCCCACUCUAUUUACAUAUGCAUAUCGAAGGCAAACAUUAUAUUUUUUUUAUGCUAGCGCAGAGUACUAACACUGUGCACAAACAAAUGUUAACAUUGCUCCUACCCGCAAAAGCUCAUUCUCUGCAGAAUUCUUUGAUGCUAGUGCAGAGCACAGUUAGAGGAAAACAAGAUCACUGAAAUUCACUCUAUAAGCUACCUCAGUCUACUUGGUAAGAAUAUCAACUUAAUUGUGAAUGCUCCUGUUGCUCCAGUCCUACCAUGGGCUGUUGCUGAUCCUUGAUAUGUUUGAUGAAUUACAGUUGAUGAUGUCUAUCUCUUACAACUGUCUUAUGCUAUUUUAUGUUGAUAACAAUCAACAUUUGGCUUCAGUUACACUAUGAUGAUUAAUGUAUCUAUGGUUGAUUUAACUGAAACAGUCACUGGCUUUUGUUGCAGAAUACGACUUAUGCAAAGCUUAGGACAGUAGUUUCUUAAAUAGUUUUUGCAUUGUCUUUAAGUUUUUGCACCCAUGUUUUUAAUUUCUUGCUUAUAUUUUCUUAUGUCUUUGGUGAUGUCCUUUAGCCUUUAUCUUUAGUAGUUAUUAAAUCUUGCUUUUACUGUUUUGCCUUUCUACUUGUUACAGUAAUUAGCUUGCCCUUUAAUUUAGUAAUCUUUGCUAUUCUGAUUGUGACCAUAUUCUGAUCAUUGAUAUGGUCGUUAGACUAUUCCGAACUUAUUUGCCGAGCUUCGAUCACAAAUGGAUGACAUGUCAAAGAAACUGGAGGAAACAGAACAUGCAAGGGACCAAGAGGAGAUGAAGAUAAAGCAUACUGAGUUGGAGACGAAACUGGAGCGUCUGCUGGGUCAAAUCUGAAAGUUGCAGGUGAAGAAAGCUGCAAGUUCAAAUGUGAAACAACCUGGUGAUGUAACUUUUCAAGGGAGAAGUGAAGCUCAAAUCUGAAAGUUGCAUGUGAAGAAAGCUGCAAGUUCAAAUCUGAAAUAACCUGGUGAUGUAACGUUUCAAGGGAGAAGUUAAGCUGCGAUGGAGAGAGGCACAAGAACGGGCAAUGAAGCGUAGGUUUUAGUUGUUUGUGAAAAAGUUUAGAAAUAAUUGUAUGAUAUUGUCACUUUGUCUGUGUUUCUUUAUCAGGGCAUUCUUGAAUGAAGUACUCAGUUUCUUUUUGGUGAAGCAAAGAAUUGAUUGCCAAUGCAAUGUCAUGGAUAAUUUAUUUAUGCAUUAUUAACCUAUUUGAAAAUAAAAUGAUAUAUUGCAUUUAUAAAUGAAAAUAAAAGAAUCAUUAUACAGUAGUACACAUGAAAAUAGAUGUAUCUAUAAAUCAUCUCUACAUUUCUUAAUACACAAUGUGGUGUUACUAUAAAACGUGUCUAUAUCCGUACACGCAUAAUAAAAUUGUAUCUACGAUAUUGUUUCUACAUUUGUGAACACGCAAUUUGGUGUUACUAUGAAACGUGUCUUCCGCCACGUCACCUGCCACAUCAUCCACCACAUCACGUGCCAUGUCACCUGCUAAAUCAUCCGCCACGUCACUCACCACAUCAUCCGCCACAUCACCUGUCACGCUCUACUAAAUCGUCUCUAUACUAAUUACUGCGCAAUAAGGUGUCGUUAUAAAAAGCGUCUAUAUUAGUAGGCAUGUUUUGUAUACAUAUCUAUAAAUUGUAUCUAUAUUUAUUAACACGAAAUGAAGCGUUACUAUACUACGUAACUAUACCACUAGAGACGUUUUAUACGUGUGUCUGCAAAAUUGUAUCAAUAUUUUUAGAUAUGCAUCUACGUGUUUAUAAAAUAUCUCUUUGUUUCAUAGCAACGCUUAAAGGAUUCGUGUCUACAAGGUCUGACGCGGUACGUACGAAGACGCUUCUAACACGCUUUAUGAAAGUGUGCCUACAAUGACAUAGUGACGAAAUAAAGCGUGUCUAAUUCUAAAAUUGGCGUACCUACAGGGGGUUUUCUAGUAGUGCAAGAAGGCUGCAUAAUCACUGGCUCCCACAAUAACUAAGGGCAAGGUCUCAAAUUCUUGAUCCAUCCAAUCAAACAUUUCCUUGGCACCCUUAUCAACGGGGAAAAGAAGGGGUUCUGCCCCAAACUGUGCCAGUGCAAGCUUAUACCCAUCAUAAAUCUAUGAAAAACGGGCCUUCAGCACUUGCUCCACACCAUCGAUGAAACCUUUCUGAUCCUCGAGGUUUUUUCCCAAGGUAUGAAUCAUAGUACGUGGAUAUAGAACCUACGGAUAUGGUUGUGCUAUCGUAGUGCCAACACUACUCUGACCAACUGUUGUAUUUGCUUCGUCCAAUACCGGCAUGCACAUUGGCGUCAUCUUUUUUGGAGGCGUCAUCAUCACCAUAGGAUGUGGGUGGCCCACUGGUGGCUGGUUCAUUAAUACUAGCCCGGACUGCUGCUGCUCUGCAAGUGUUUCCAUUCAUAGUCCUUAAACCUAUUUUUUCAGUUUGCUUGAAGACGCUGCCUUGGUGUAAAAUUUUUGGAGCAGAAUAAAAUUCGAGCAUGCUGCCAAAAAAAAUAUGGAACUGCUUACUUCGGUACCAAUGUCCUUUCAUUGAGAAGUGCAUAUACCCCAGGUAAACUACCUUUCUAGAACCUUAUAGAAAAGAUCAUUCGGUAUCACCCAAGCAGUGGCGGAACUAGAAAUUCUAGGUGGGGGACAGCAUCCAAACGUAAUAAAAACUUAUCGAUAUCUAAUUAAAAGGUUACAAUUUUAGGAUUCAUAGAGAUAACUAUGGGGAGACAGAAAGAUAGUAGGCCGGAAUUUUUCAUUUCUAAACAUACUUUGUAUUGGGAAAUGCUUCACGUACGACUAUUUGCACUCUAUGACUUCAUACGUACAAGACACCAGCUAAUGUAUUGGUAAUGUCUUUCUUAUUGCAAUAUCUUUGUUCACUAGUUUGUUUUUUUAUAAAAUAAUGUUAGAUGUCUUCCUUUUUAGGUCAACGGUUUUUUCUUAAAAGAUUAUAGUAUAAGUUUUAGUUUACCACGUUCUACAUGUAUUUAGACAAAACAAAAUAGACAUUGAAACUGCUUGGCUUCUUGAUUAUUAUUUCGAUCUUGCUUCAGGUUUACUAGUCGCAUGUUGAGAAGCUAGCUAGUUGGGCCUCUUUAUGUGUAAUCCGCCUGGUCUUUGUACGAAGGAUAUAUAUGGCUUUAGUGUAAAACGGUGGUGAAAUAUUGUUUUCCAGCUCCCGUGCUUUGAACUUUGGACUGUACGACAGAAGGGUGACUUAAAAUUUUUAACCGUGUUUUGGGGACUUUCGACAUGAUUAAUUGUUCCUCUAGUCACUUCCACUAGAACAAGGGUCUAAUUUAUUACAUAUAUUUAUAAAAGCUAUUAAUAAAAGCUAUGAAUCUAGCUAGAAAUGCCAAUGCCAUCUUCAAUUUGGGACAGAGAGAGUACAUGCAAUUAGUGAUAAAAAUUACAAUUCACCAGGAUGGAAGCUGUAAUAUAGAAGAAAGAAAGCUAGACAUAUAUGGAUGUAAAAGGAAGUACGGCACAUAAUUGGCCUCAUAUUACUGAUAGAGUCAAGACGAUACAGUAGUAUGAAUAUGCAUACUUGAAUCUAGGUACUAGCCUGGGCCAUCCAUUAUUUAAUUUGAUAACCGGCGGUUGCAGUAAUAUUUAUUCAAACUACAUUUAUGCGUGGGAUUUCAUGCAUCCUUCUUAGUUUGGAGGCACAGUUCAUCUGGAAGGAGAUUGUCGUCAUGACCACAAUAUGUUGGAAAAUGAGCAGAUGGUGGCGGGAGAGAUGUGUCGACUGUCGGACCAUCCUCUACAAUGAAUACUGCCGCCAUGCUCAUAGUCAAAUGGAAUUCAUAGUGGCAAUGCAUGAACCAUACCUCUGUAAAUCAUAUAAGACAAGCAUUAGAUCUGAGAGUUUCGACUUUGAAACCCGACUAACACAAAUAAAUCUUACACACACCUGGAUUGUUCGCAACAAAUCGGAUGGCAGCCCACCCAAGAUUUGGGACAAGAACGGUGUUGUUCACUGGUGGAUUCACCGAGUUGUAUUUUGCAACAUCUUUCGCGGCGUCGAAGUUACCAAACCCCUGUGCAAGAAGGAUCAUGUUGUGACCAUGUAGAUGCAUCGGGUUGGAAUCGUCCUGUAGAACUGCUGUGCUCUGGAACACUAUCUCCACUGCGGCACCAUGCCAGAACCUCCGCACCACCGUAGCCUUAUACGAUGGCUCUAUGGCGCAUCUGCUUGGGCCCAUACGGGAUUAAGGCUUCGUCAGUGAAUUUGAAUGCCCUUCGUGGUCUGUCGGGAAGCUCUUGCAUCAAGUCCACGCUUCCAGUGUGGUAGUAGUGUGCCUCUAGUAGUGGCAUCUUCCCCGUGGGAUGCUGGAAGGAAACGUUGUUCAUGUUUGCGAUGAGGAUGGUCUCAUUGUGAUCACCCCUCCUGCAGGACUGGCCAUGCUGACAUAUUGACACGGGUAGAGAACUUGGUAUCAGUUCCGGUUGGUAGGGUGCAAAUCUCCUGAAAAUCCAUCCAGGAUAAACCAAUCGAGACAAAGGGGGUCUUUUGUCCCGGGUCACCUGGAGGGCCCCCUUUUUGUCCCAAGUCACACGAUUUUUCAAGCGAAAUUUGCGCGUGCACGCUGUGUGGGAUUCGAACCCACGACCUCCAGCCUCGCGCGUAGCUUCCUUGCCAUCCCACCUACACAGCACAUCUGACUAUAUAGGGAUGCAAUCCUUUUGUAUUAACUCGUGGGGAUCCUUUUAUCCCAGUUGGAAACACCAACCGGGAUAAAAGAAAAGACCCCCUUUUAUCCCGGUUGGUAUUACAAACCAGGAUAAAAGGGUUCGAGGGAUUUCAGCCACCCCAUUGGGGACCCUUUUAUCCCGGUUUAAAACACCAACCAGGAUAAAAGAUUAUCCUGGUUGGUGUUUUAAACCGGGAUAAAAGACCCUCGACCCUUUUAUCCCGAUUGGUAUUACAAACCGGGAUAAAAGACCCUCGACCCUUUUAUCCCUGUUGGUGUUACCAACCGGGAUAAAAAAGGGGUCUUUUAUCCCGGUUGGUGUUUCAAACUGGGAUAAAAGGCCUCUCAGGGUCUUUUUUUUCACUAGCCUUUGCAACCAGGAUAAAAGGUCCCGGUUGGUGAGCCCUCCGCUAGUGAUCAAGCUUUAGUCCCGGUUGGUGAACCUUUUAUCCCGGGCCAACUUUAUCCCGGUUGGUGUUUCAAACCGGGAUAAAAGGGUCCCCAACGAGGUGAUUGAAACAGGACUAAAUCCCUCGAACCCUUUUAUCCCGGUUUGUAAUACCAACCGGGAUAAAAGGGGGUCUUUUAUCCCGGUUGGUGUUUCCAACCGGGAUAAAAAGGGUUCCCCACGAGUUAAUACAAAAGGAUAGCAUCCUCUAUAUAGUCAGAUGUGGUGUGUAGGUGAGAUUGCAAGGAAGCUACGCGCGAGGUUGGAGGUUGUGGGUUCGAAUCCCACGCAGCGCGCACGCGCUUAUUUCGCGUGAAAAAUCGCGUGACUUGUGACUUGCGACGUGUGGGGGCCUCCUGGGAGCCCGGGAUUUCUUUUUUUUUUUGCAGCGCCUGCCGUGGUGACCCGUUUUAUCCCUGUUGGUAAUACCAACCGGGAUAAAAGGGGAGUCUUUUGUCCCGGUUGAGUGACCCGGGAGAAAAGACCCCCCCUUUUUGUCCCGGUUGGUUUAUCACGGAUGGAUUUUCGGGAGAUUUGCACCCUACCAACCGGGACUAAAGGCCAAUUCUCUACUAGUGGUUGCUGUGCUCGUGCUACUAUCACUGCCGGAGAAUGGACCUUUUGUCCACUGCAUUAGUGCCGGUUGCAAUUGGGCCUGGUAGAGCAUUAGUAUCGGGCCUAACGGAUAGCCCCAGGGCCGCCUUGUGAACCCCUUUAGUAUCGGUUUGUGGUCCCACCCAGUACUAAUGUGGCACCGGGCUUUUAGUACCGGGUGGGGGCACCAACCGGUACUAAUGUGCACCCUUUAGCACCUGUUGGUGCACCCAAUUGGUCGCCGCCGCCGCCCCACCUCAUCUACCGCGCGCUCCCUCGUCGCCGCCGCCGUACGCUCUCAUCGCCGCCCUCUUUGCUGCCCCCAUCGACCGCCGCCACCCCACCUCAUCCGACACCACCCCGCCUUGUCCGCCGCACGCCUUCGUCGCCGCCCGAACCCGUACGCCCUCGUUGCCGCCCCCGUCGACCGCCGUUGCCCCCACCUCAUCCGGCGCCACCACCCCGCCUCGUCCGCCGUGCACCCUCAUCGCCACCCCUGUACGCCCUCAUCGCCACCCCCGUCGACCGACGCCAUCGUAUCAUCAUCACAGAAAUUGAUGAAUGGUGAAUCAAUUGCUCCUUCCUAUGCUAAGACUAAAUUGGUGAAUCAAAUUGGGUUUCUUGUUAGAGAUAAGAUUCCAAUAAGCUUUAAGAAUUGGAAAAGCCCUGAAAUCAAUCGCUUCCACAAGCACGAUCCCAUAAGCGCGGUUCCUGAGUGAGAGAAGGAAAUGAUAUGGUUCGAAGGUGUAGAUGAAGCAAAAGUGAAAGAUUGGAGCUUCAAGAAGGGUGCAAUUGCUUUUCAGAUGUACAAGAAAAACUUGAACAAAGACUACAUAAAGAAGGGGCUUACACCUGAUUUCACGAAGCACCCGAAGUUAAGAGAUCACUGGGAUUCAUUUUUGUAGUUCAAGUAGUCGCAAUAGAGCGCUAAGGAAACUCAAACCAACACCGACAAUGCUCAGAAGAAGAAAUACUUCCAUGGUCUUGGGCCAGGAGGUUACAAGAAGGGGAUCAUGAAAUGGCAGAGGAUGGAAGAUAACAUAAUUGCUAGUGGAAUAGUACUGCAGACUCUCGAAUGGUCGGAGCAAGCAAAGAAUUGGUAUUAUGCUCAUGGUGGCACGCUUAAUCCCGAAGAUGGAUCAUUUGUGUUCGGCCAAGAAUUAACAGAAGUGGCUACGAGUCUUGUUGACUUAAUAAAGGCUACCUUAGAAUGAUCUUUCGUGCCUAAUAAGGAGAAGGACGAGCUGACUAUGGCACUAGGUAAUCUAGAACACCCUGAAUAUUAUCGAGGCAAAGGAGUAAUUCCAUGGAAGUUUGCUUUUCGUGAGCACCUUGAUUCAUACAGAAGUCGCCAAAGAAGUAAGGCCGAACACGCACAAUAGCUGCGAGAGUUGCAAGAACACAUAGGUUUGACUGAGGCAAGAAUGGAAGAAGCAAUCGACUGACGUGUGGCUCUAGCUCUUAGCAAACAAGCUAGUGAACAAGCAGCUGCAGCAUCAGAGGCUAAUGUCAACGUAAGCCCCUCUCAGCGUAGCGUCGCUUCCACGGAAGCCGAAGCUGGAGGAUCUUCUAACAUAUUUGAGGACAACCAACGCCACCCUAUGGACGACAUCACUGGGAGAGCCCCUUGUGAGCUUGUUACUCCCGUGAAAAACAAGCUUAUCGUGGUGGCUUAUGGUGUGGCUAAACAACCAACACAAGGCCAAACAAUUCAUGGCGUGGAGAUUCCAGCUCGCGGUUACACCAAAGGUGGGGUGGACCGAGUGGUCGACGGUUGGGAUGAACUGAAACUGGAGACCCCUGGAGGUGAUGGGUAAAAGAAUCUAGGAGAAGCCAUCCUUAGUUGGAUUCUAUGGCCCAAGCGCUACAUAAGGAUAACACAGCCGAAUCCCCGACCUUGGGAUCAUCUCCUCAAGCCUCAACCCCUUGCCUCAACCAUUUUUGCGGUGCCAUUAACACAAGUGUUUUGAUUGUCUUUCAAACCUGCAACCUCAAACCUAUGCGUGAUGCCCUCUAGCUAGGCCACUCCACCCAUGCUUGGCUCGUCCAGAACAUUUUGUGAUAAUUUACAUAUACAAACGACUUCAAUUUAAUGAAAAAGGUUUUCAAAAUUUCACUUCCGUUUUGCGAGUCUAGUGGAGUCCUUGGUUGUAGAUCAUCUUUAGUUGUCAAUUGAAACAUGCACCGAAAAAACCCUAAUAUAACUUGCAUAGUGUUCGAUAAAACAGGCGCAACUUUUGCAUAUGGAGUCAAAAUUGGACCCUCUUUUUUCCCAAAAAUGAUUGAAAAUAUUAUUUUGUGUUAGCAGGAUUGGUGCCAUUGGGCCAUGUCAGGCACUGUAAGGCAUGCAUCAACUGCUUAUGAGAUGAGGAAGAAGGCAGCUUAGCUCAGACUUAAUGUACAUUGUCUGAGCGCCCACUGUGGUCCUCCCCUCGUGGUUCACGCGCACCGGGCCAGCAGACAAGCUAUGAUGUGGCCAGCAGGGGCUCAAGUUGCUGACCACAAAAGGACGCUUAGAAUGGCACCAUGGGCCUGAUUGGUUCACUACCAAAAUUUUGGCAUGCCAGGGAUUUGGCAAGCUAAUAUUUUGGCCAUUGUUUGGUUUGUUACCAAAAUUUAGCAACCUCUCCCACUUAUCUUACUAAAAUAUUAGCAAGUUUCUUGCCCAACUUUUAGCUUGGCAAAACUUUGGCAUGCCAAAAUUUGGCAACAAACCACUCCAUAUAUAGCAAAAUUAUCAGUAGAUAUGAGCAGAAAAUAAAAAUACUACGAAUACUAGGAAUGUAACACAAAUAUGUCUGUCAGAUCGAAAGGAUUUUAUUGCAUAUUCCGGCCAGACAUAUUGCAGGUUCCGGUGCCCUAUUAUUGUCAGGCGCCGUACAUCACGUUACAGACACGUGCAACACUAUUAUUGGUAGCUCAAUUAUUUCUGUCAAGAUUGCCAAUGGACAUGGCCCAACAAUGAUCAAGCAUGAUCAAUUGCUUAUGAGCUGAGCAACCAGAAAACCAUGGACACGUGGUGAUUUAAGGAUGUCCGUAUUAGGUCGAAUCAGUUUUGAUAGGUUAAGAGACCUUCCAUCCAGCGUUUUUAGUCCCGGUCGUUUUUGGACCCGGGACUAAAGGGCCUUUAGUCCCGGGUCAAACGGCCACUACCGACAGCCACCGACGACGGGAGUUUUAGUUCCGAUUGUAACGGCUAGUGAAACGAGGGAAUCUAGCGAGGCGUUUAGUCCCGGUUGAAAACACCAACCGAGACGAAAGACUAUCCAUUUAGUCCUGGUUGGAAUCCAACCAAAACUAAAUGGACAACCUUUCAUCCCCGUUGGUAAUUCCAACUAGGACUAAACGCCUUGCCUAUAAAAGUCAACUUCUUCCUCGCCGAGCCCGAGCCACUAUGACCGAGAGCUUUGAGCUCCUUCUCCAUGGCGAGCAAGCAAGCUUAGGGAGGUGCUGCCCGAUUAUUUUUCCUUAUUUUCGUGGGGAUUUCACUCAUCCAAAUUGUUGUAAAGGUUAGCUAUUUCAUCCUCCCUUCAUUUAUUAUUAUUAUCCUUUGUUUUAUUAUUUAGAGAUAGAGAAAAAUGAGUUUUUUAGAACGAGGGAGAAUGCAGAUGAUUUUUUAUUUAUACAUAUUUUUGAGCUAGAAUUUGAUGGAUAUCUUGCUUGUUAUAUAUGAUUUGUAUUAGAUAAAUAUCUUGAUAAUAUUAGGUAUGGGAAAAAAAUAGAGUGAAUGUGUUUGCUCAUAGUGCCAGCAGCCCAAGAAGCAGCUGCUGCAGCCACGGCUGUAGAGGUGGCGGUGACGGCCAUUGCGGCGGCGGCUGCUACCCGCACCUUAGUUGCCUCCGCGGCGACGGAGGCCGCCCUCCUCGUCAUGGCGGGGGUUUCCUCAUGCACCGUCGCCACAUCAUCAGACCCACGUCCGAGGCGUGGAAGGCACUUGCAGCCGAGGCUCUGUCCCCCACCAAUGCGGCUAGGGGGGCCAUGGCAAUGUAAGCGGCCAUCGAGUUGCUAGCCAGAUCCCCCGCCGCCAUGGCCUCAACGGCUACGGCCGAGGCCUAUGCUUGCGCGGCUAUGGAGUGGGAGCUUACCUGCCACCGCCGUUGCCUCCCGUUCAUCCAUGACCUUUGUUACCAUGGAGGGGAUAGCGGAGGUUCUAUCGGCGCAGUUCCGGAGAUGUAAGCCCUGCCGCUAGUUGUGUACUCCGGCGAUGUAAGCGCCGGAGCAUAUGUUAUGAACGUAUUGCCCUUUUGCCUAGUUAGAUUUUUCGGUUCUUUUAGUUAUAAUCAUGAUGAACAACGCUAGGUUGUGUCCAUUUAUUUCAGUUGUUUCAGUUCAUGCAUGAGCAAGUACGACUAAGCUAUGUUUAUGUGUUUUGUUGAUGUAUGUGUUGAAUUCUGUUCAGUUCAGUUCAGUUGAUGCGUUUGCAAUGAAUUCUGUUGCCUUCUGUUCAGUUCUAUUUAUGACGAACUAUGCAAGAUUUAAUCUGUUCUGUUCUGUUCUAUUCGGUUAAUGUUUAAAUAUCCGUUUUUUUCAGUUGAUGAUGAGUGUAAUAUGCUGUUAUAAACGUCUAGCACGUACACAUGCGUAUUCCUUUGAAUGUGCAUUUGUUGUUUGUGCAAUUUGUUCAUAACAAUUCAGUACUACUCAUGAAUCGAUGGACAGUACAAAUGGAAAACAAUUUAUUUUGGCUGCCUUUGAUAGUAUUCCAACUAGUGCUAAUCGAUAACGGUAGUAGGUUAACAAACAUUACGGCCUAGUUAGACACCGCUAGGACUAGUAACCCUAUUCGCAUUGGUGUUAACAAUUAAUGGUAGAAUUAGCUACUCAAUGGUAUCAGCGGUCAACAAAAGCCGAUUAAAAUAAUAAAAUAUUCUAAUAAACGGAAGAUGAUGCCGGCACGUUUAGCGGCUUAUUUGUGUCGAUUCUGACACCGGCACAAAUAAACUACCCUCGUUCUUAUCAGUCCCGUGGUAGCUGUCCCAGCACUGCCCGAAUGAGAGUUUCGCGCCAGCACGUAUACGUAUGAGGGUUCUUGCAGUUGUGGAUGGUGACAUGCACACACUCUCACUUAUUUGUACAAGCAUAUACACAAAUCCGACAAAUCAUAAUCGAGAUCUAUAGGUGUUUCGCGGUGGUGGGCACGUCGCACCACUCAACUAAUAGCACAGUUUCACUAAUUGUGAAUCAAGAACUCAAAAUGAUAGUAAGCAUCAGGCAUUUAAAAAGCAAUCAAGAAUUCACAAAGGUCUCUUGUAGUGUGUGGAAACCUUAUAGUAAGAGUUAGAUGAGCCACUAUACUAUAAGUUGCUGAUGAUCUGAGCAAGCAAAACAUGUGCCCCAUCUCAGACUGCAUGCACGAUGAGAUCAGUAGAAGUCGACCAUCGUCAAGUUUCGGUACCUGACCAAUGGGAUCUGUUGGAUCGAAGGGUCGCAUUGCAUGUGCUCACUAACAGGCACCGUCCGUCGUCCCGUCAACGUAAGCCGACCGCAGUGGAGUGAGCCUAAGUUUUCCAUUUUUAUUUUUAUAUGUCGAUUCCUUCCACAUGAUGCACGUGGGGCUGCAAUGCAUCAGAGCCGGUGAAACAAGAAAAAAAGAGUUGCAAAGUGUGGUUUGCGUCCCAACGACCUGUAGGGCUACAGCUUCCCUGUUGACAUUGGUUGGCAGCGCCAUCUUCGUCUCCACGAUGCCGGGCGCCCCUUCACAGCUCUGAUCAUGUCUCCAUCCUAAGUUUUGGUGGACCGAGGGAGUUGUAUUAUAUAGAUCAAGGGUUGAAAUAAGGUGUUAUGAUUAUUACACAUUUUAAUGAUAGCUUACGAUAUAUGAAGGUGAGAUGAAAUCUUGUAAUCUCUAUUGCUUUGCUUAGUUGAAUCUUGUAAACUUAUAGGCACGACUUUCCUCAUGCACAUCUAGGUGUACAUUGGUGAGUCUAACUGCUAUUAUUGGAACCAACAUAUGCAAACAUAUACACCUUCACCACACAUGGAUUUUUUUUUUGAAAUACAGUAUAUACUCAUCAUAUAAAUUAAUGUACACUCACCCAUACAUUCACAUCCCACCCCAUUGAGCACCUACGAGAUUGAACUGGUACUUACAAACUCAAUUUCUUGCAGGGCCUCUUGGCAUGCAGUGCCUAAUGUUGAUACUGCCUAGGUUAUUAUAGUUAAUAUCUAGAGUUAGGCCCAACGCGGAGUAGCUGAUGAGGAUACUGGCUAGGUUAAUAUCUAGAAAAAGUCCUAUAUAUGUUUGGGAUUUAGAAAUAUAUAGUAGGACCUUUCACAAAAAGGGAUUUUAUUAGUCCCCCUUGCAUAAUAAAAUCACAUAUUUUAAUUUAAACCAUAAUAUAUUACCCUCCUAUGGUUGUUUAGACCAUGCAUCUGCCUACUUAGGGUACCUGAGAAAGUAGAUUGGUUGGUGAGGUUUGGUUGAGUAACUGUUACAUGUAUGAGUAUCGAAGCAUACAUGUGAUGCGCAAUCAGUUCCAUUUGUAAAACCGAGUAUGACAUCUGCGAUGCAGAUCUUGGAGCCGAAAACGACAUUGAUGGUGCCUUCCUCGAACUCGGCGUCGAAGUUAAAGAUGAUGGGGCCCAUAAAUCCUGCCGUAUGAUUCUCGUCGAAUAUCAUCAUCAUCGCAGCCAAGAUAUUGCUGAUGGACAUGGCUCCAUCAUUGAUAUUUCUACAUUUACCAGGGGUGGAGCUCAGGCUUGUCGACGGGGUCUGCCGACCCCAAUGAUUUUUGGAAAACUCAGUGACAAAUUACUGUAUCUUAUUGUUAAUGGUUUAUUAGAUCCCGCCUUCUUCUGCAUAAGACCCUAACAUUUACUCACUAACCCCGGUGCAAGAUGAUUAUUAAUAGUAUAACAUCAUCGUCAUCAUCGCUGCCAUAAUUCAGAGGCGAGGAGAGGAGGCAGCUCACGUAACGACACAAUUGGAUGAUCAUGCAAUAAUAAUAGCACCGUCACAGUCAAGCAGGAGUUAGAAGAAAGUGAUCGUUGCUGAUAUGGUGGGGAAGCAAGAGGCAGUUGUCCCAGCACCUCAGACUUAACGCACGAUGUCUUAGCGCCAACUGGGCCGGCACUCGUGUUCCACGCGCACCAGCAGCCCAAGGCAAGCUGUGAUGUGGCCAGCAGUGGCUGAUCAGAUGCCUGAGACCACAGAAAGGACACUUAGAAAGGUACCAUAUGCUGCAAUUGUAAAAUUGCCAGUAGACCUGAGCAGAACAGAAAACAACUGACCUAAUGCACAAUGUCUAAUAGCGCUCACUGGGCCGGCACUCGUGUUCCACGCGCACCAGCAGUGGCUAUUAUUAUUGACUGAGUGAUCCACUCGUAAUCCUAAGGACACGAGCCACCAGCGAACUCGUCCCCUCCCCCUGGACCACGCCGAGACCGUCGCAGACAACGCGGACCGCGUCCUGCAGGUUGCCGUGCUCGGCGCGCUCCGCAUCGAGGAUCUCCCUCAGCCGGGCGAGUUCAUCUGCAAGGCCCAUCCAUAAAAGUCCGCCAAGUCAGAAACCAUCGCAAAGCCGCAAAAACAAAGCAACGAGAAGAGCCUUACCCUCGGACUAAGCCUUCAGCUGACGCUCCCGAUCGAGCCCCUAGAUCACGGCGGUCUGAAGCCCCUGCACUUGCACGUGGAGCUGACUGACCUCCGCCCCAAGCUUGGCCGCUAUCUUCUUGGCCUCAGCCUUCCGGACCGCUCUAAGUCCCGCUCCUGCCAAGCCCUCUGCCGCUCCCACCGGAUACACUCGACGGCUUUCUGAAGGGCCUCAUGGUCCUCCUUCAGCCGUGCGAGCUCCUCGGCAUCGUGGCAUGCCUUCUCGGCAGCAGUCUGGAACUCCUCGAGAUCGAGGCAAGCCUUCUCGACGAUGGCCUGGAACUUGUCCUCUGCCCGCCGCCCGUCCUCCCACGCCGCCUGCUCACGCCUGCGCAGGUCGUCGAUGACUUGCUGAGCGGCGGCGACCUACGCGGUCAACUCCCCGAUCCGCUGCCUCUCCAUGGAGAAGCGAUCCCAGAGCCCCCGCUCAAGCCGGAGGAAAUCAGACUUCCCUCGGCUGCACUCCUGGAGGGCCUACAAAACAAUUUAUGCUCAGCAACGGAGAGACGAGAGGAAAACAACCACCGGGGAGAACACCGUACCUGGCCACCGGGGACGACGAAGCCGUGCAGCUCCCCCAUCGCAGAAGACAGGGCAGCGCGGACAUUUGCAAUCCUGCCCUGCACCGCCUACCACUUGCCCCACUCCUCGACAUCAUUCAGCACGAAGAGGGGUCUCUGCGGGUCCUACCAGGACGCCCAGCGCAGGGUAGGCCCACCCCACGCCUUGGGGACGAGAUUAACUGGGACAAGGGUGGAGGCCGUUCUGGCCGACCCCGGCGCCGCCGUCCCCAAUGCCGCCGCUAGGGCAGGUGCCACCGCCCCUGAUGCCGCCGGCCUCGUCGACGGCCCCGGCACAUGCGCCGCUGUCUCUGUCGAGGUUGCCACGGCCGUCCUUGACGCCGACGCGCGUCCCGCUCCAUCCGCCGCUGCCACCGUCUCCGUCGCGGCUGUCGGAGCGAGCAUUCCCGUUCCCGCCGCAGCAGCAGGGGCAGGUACACCCGCCUCCACCGCCGCCGCUGUCCCCGUCGCGGCCGCAGAGGCGGACUUUCCCUCCUCCAUCGCCACCGCCAUCUCCAUCGCGGUCACUGGGACACCUGCCCCCAUCUCCGCCGCCGCCAUCUCCACCGUCACCGCCCGAGCCGCCGGCUCCUCCUCCACCUCAUCGUCGAGGUCUAUCACCUCAUCGGUCGGAGGGACCCCGGGGGCAACUCCUUGUCCUGCAGGGCGGCCGCGGAGGGAGAAGGCGGAGCAGGGGUCAGACCCUGCCCCGUGCCCGGCUGCGGCACUCUUCCUCCGGUUGCCGCCAUGGAGGCCUCCUUCGCGGUAGGCCCUGCGGUCUCCCCGGCGACACCACUACUCGCCGCCGGCAGGGUCGCGUCUCGCCCCACGGAGGCGGACGACACCCGUAGCGCCUUCUUCGGUGCCAGUGGCAGGACGAAGUCCCAAGGGACGACGCUGUGAAACAACAACAACACCAUGAAAAACGGCUCGAUGCCGAGGAAGAAAUAAGAUGCGCGAGGAAUUCCCACUUACACUCCCUCAGCGCGAGGACGGUGGGCGCGUUUCGCCUCCGAGCCCGACGCAGACCCCGGGGCAUCUGGCAGCGGCUGCUUGCCGCUACUCCUCUGCUCUUGGGACGCAGGCAGAGGGUCGAGGUGCGGCCCCAGAGCUUUGCGAGGUCGAGUCCUGGGCAGGCGGUCCGCUCGGCUUGUCUCCCGCAGCCGUUUGGGGGCGCUGCUCCCGGAUGACGAGCGUGCCCGACCGGGGGGUCAGAAUGAACUCCUCCCCCUCUUCCUCCUCCUCGUCUUCCUCCUCUUCCUCCUUAUCAUCGUCAUCGUCGUCGUCCGACAUGACCUGGCCCCACCGCCGCCGUUGGAGCUCCUUGGGGGCCUUCCUUUUCUUCCUCGCCGUCUCCUUGUCCUUGCGCCUCUUCUGCUUCUCGGCGAGGAGGUGGUUCUGCUGCCGCCGCUCAGCGUCCUCUAGCACCGGUGGGCGCGAGUCGACGACAUUGGUCAUGUGGCCCUACAGACAUGAAAACUCCGCGUCAGAGCGACGAACCAAGAAAUGUAGGAAAAAAGAACAAGAGCGUGGAGUCCUCACCAGCUUGACAAAAUUCUCGUCCGGGUGCAUCGGAGGGUCACCAGGCACCGGGUAAUCAGCGUCCUUGUUGUCCAGCACCUCCCGGACUCGCUGCCGGAUCUCGGUGGCGGCAAGCGCACCCGUCGCAAGGACGGUGCCCUUGGUCAGCGCGCUGGGAACCAUCUCAGCGAGUGAGCAAACCCGGAGCAUCAGCGGCGCCACCCUCCGAGCAUGGUACGCCCCGAUAACUCCGGCCCCGGUCAGCCCCUUUCCCUUCAGGUGCUCGAUGGCCUGAAGCAGAUCGGUGAUCCGCUUAUUCUCCUUCUCCACUGGACCGUACGACCACAGCUUUGGCGCCGCUUCGAUGACGCGGCCGGUGAACGCCGGCAAGGGGGAGUUGGAGUAGUUCUUCACAUAGAACCACUGCUGAUGCCACCCCUUGUGGGACGCCACGGUCUUCAUCGCCAUAUAUUCCUUGGUGCGGUUCUGGGGAGGUGGAUGGCGGCGCACCCUAUCGCCACCGGGGUCGCCCGCUGCUGACUCCCCUUCUUCUCGGCCCUCUGGUACAGGCUGAUCGCGAAGAAGUACUUCCAGAGGGAGAAGUUGGGCUCGAUGCCCAGGAACCCCUCGCACAGCGCGACGAACGCCACGAUGUGCUGGAUCCCAUUAGGAUUAAGAAGCAGCUCAGCGGGGUCGCAAACCCCCUCUCGUGGAAGUGGGCGAACGAAACAAUGUAGCCAACGGGCGGACGCGGCACCUCUUCCCUCUCGGGGAACCGCCAUUCGCCCCUCUCGAUCCUCUUGCAGAGGAGGCCUUUCCUCAUGAGGCCGUUGGUGCGCGAGGUACCGAAGCUUGAGCGCGUUCAGGACUCCAUCGCGAAGGGGAGAAGGGGUCGACGGCGGAGGGUGAGGAAAGCUGUUGCGCUAGGCGGAGGAAGGUGAACGGCGCGCAAGAAGGCAAUGAGCGCGCGAGAGGGCGAAAAGAUUUGGGAGCAGUUGCGGGUGGAACCGCCGAGGUAGGCCCCCCAUCUUAUAGGAGGGCGCGUGGGAAGCGAAAGAGACAGUCUUGUCACAGUUAAUGCAAUGCCAGGUACGCCCCGUCACGCCCUCAAUUCUUGGAAUCCGUGCACAUGAUCUGCUGCAGAAAAACAUCUCCGCCUCCCUCGCUUCGUGGGCCGGCACCUUCCGCCACUUUGCCUCCCGGAGGACGUACACGCACAACCUCCUCCACAUCCAGCCCAAGGCCCACCAAUAGGUAAAAAAGGGGAUACGGGGCUGAAAACGCCCCUACGGCCCAUUACGGUCCAGGGGUUCGAAGGCUGGCCCACCACGGGUUCGACAGCCACUCCAGGACACCCUCGAGCGAGGGGUGAGAAGGGACGGGUCCGCUAGCGGCCAUAUCCAACCUCACAUUCGAGUCUAGACCAGUACCAAAGUUCAUGGUUUUUCCCCGAAGAAAGGCAACGAGCCCCUAGAUCCGAUCGAACGGACUCGGGAACUAUAUGAACUGGCCGGCCGGAAUCUGGGGUACGCCACCAGCUUGGCCUGAGAUGGACCCCCCCCCCCGAAUGGGGAUCGGGACCCACUCGAAUCGACCUGUUCGCAGCUCUACGAGCACCAUGGUUCGUCCGGUGAGGAUAGCGUGGCACGGCUCACCCCCUGUGUCUCACCGAACGGACGCUUGAGGGGUAACGAUCAAAAGUCGAUCUAGUCUCCUGACUGGACUCCCGCAACACACGGGGGCUCGGGGGCUAGCAUCGCAACUAAUGACCACGCGUGUGGUCGCGAUUUGAGGUCUCGAAGCGGGAGUGCCCUACGAAACAAUUGGGAAUUCACCCUCAUCAAGCCACCCACAUGACAUCUCGCCUGAUCAAUCCCCCCGGCCAAGCCGAACAAACAACGCUCCCUGUCCCUGAUUAACUGCAGCUUGCAUGGCGAGCAGAGGUUCCCGACGAACGAUGAAGGCAGCCUCUGGAGGAGCAUCCUCGCUCCACCACAGGCUCGGGGGCUACUGUUGGUGGUGAAAUGUUAACGACCUCCUAAUACCUCUUAAAACAACAAUCAUCAAGGCCUAGGCCCACCUGCAGUAAUGAUGAUUACCACCGACCUGGGAUAGGCGAGGAGCAUCCCACUCUGUCUCGCCCGACCCAGGGCCCUGGGGUCAAACGCGCCUGACCCCUCGAUGGCGAAACUCCGCCUCGCCCGCCCCGCGGUCCCAGGGUCAGGAGCGCCCGACCCCUCGCCGCAAGACUUCGCUUCGCCCGACCCCGGGCGUAGGGGGUCGGACUCAUCCGGGCCCACAAGACAAGUAUCCGCCUCGGGUGUAGACCGGCAGAUGAGGGCGCGGAUUUCGUGGGCCCCUCACCGAUCUCGCCAUAAAUGCACCGCAGCUCUGGCGCGUAGAAAGGCGCUCACGCCCCUCGACGUGACCCGCCAUAUGUACCCGGGCGGAACACUGUAGCCACGACCGCACAGGCUACAGUGUCCGCGGCGCCCCCUGAUUCGCCGUAGGGCACUCAUGCCAUGCGCCGCUCGGCACAGGAGGGAGCGCCGCCCGUUCUCGCGCCCAGCGUAUCCGACGACAGGGACGCGACGUCCGUGCUCCAUGGGACGUAAGCAGGAUAACGGGGGUCAGCCGUCUCCCCCAAUGUGCACAGUUGCCACGACCGAACACCACCAUCAUGCCGGGCGGCGACGGUCGCCCGGAGGAUCGGCAACAGGAUCCGGCGGCAGCCGCCCUCCUCCGGUGGCUGUGCUGAUAGGAGUCGAAGGCCGAAGCAGGAGGCGGCGACCCGGGGACUUGGUCCUUCUCCUUGUAUUUUACUCUACUUAGCUUAUCUCUUUUACUUCUCCACACACCCGGCUCACCUAUAACCCUGAGCACUCCUUGCGCUAUAAAAGGAGAACCAGGGGCCCCAAUACAAGGAGGACUCUCAAGCCAACAGAACUCACACACUCACCUCUAGAGCAUCAGUGCACACCCAAGAGACUUGGGACCGGCUCCCUCUCUCGCCUGUUUGUAACCCCUACUAUAGACCCCGUGUGGGCAACGCGAGUAGCUCCUCAUACUGGACGUAGGGCUUUCCUUGCUCGAACCAGUCAAACCCCGUGUCUUCCCACGCUACCAUCCGAAUCCUAACGCGCAUAAAAGAAAUUUACUAGCCGUAGUCUUGAUCCGCUAAUCUUUACAACGACACACCCAAUAGCAAUGUUACAUUCAAACACCCAUCAACAUCCGAAAUUUACGUGAGGUUGGAACAGGUCGCCGAGCUGCAAAAUAAGGGUCUUUACAAGACGAACAGGGACAGAGAUCAGCUAACUGCCGCAAUCGGAACCACGGAGCACUCUGGGCAUGUUCGAGGAUUGUCAUCAACAUUGCCCUGUUGUAAAGCAUUCCAGAACGACCAAGCAAGCUACAGGAAGAUGGACCGUUAUAAGAAAGACCUUAAGGAGAAGAUGAGAGAAAUCGCCAAGCAGGAGUUCAUGGAGUUCUUGGCAAGCCAGCAACUACAAACGAUAACCAACCCAACAGUAUCCAAUGCUCAAGGACGGGCAGAACCAACCCUGCAACUUGCCCACACAAGAUUUGUUGCUCCGAGUAGUGCUGGAUCCAUUACAAAUCUGAGGUGUCCCGUUGAUGACAUACAAGUGAAUACACCAUGCAGGUUGGUGAUACCUUAUGGAAGGAAACAAAAUAAGUUUUGAGAGGUCGCAACUGGCAUGGCAGUAACAGGUCAUGUGUUCCCAAAGAAACCCCCGCCAAAAUAUGCCUCGAUGCAAGUUGUUACAAUGUUGGAUGAGUUGUGCGAGCUUGACAUCCCUACUGAUGAGGGGAUUGAGGUUCUUGGUGAUGCGAUGAACCAGUAAAUAUUGUGGCAUCGCCAAGAUAUCAUUCUGAAUAAUGCAUCACCAGAAACCUCAUGGCCGAGCCAAGAUGUACCCAUACUAUAGUCAAAAGUUGACAUGGAGCAGUCGAUGAAGUCACAUGUGCAGGGAGCUACCAAUGAGGUUGAGUAGCCGACGCAGCCACAUGUGCAUGGAGCUACCAAUGAGGACGAGUAUCCAAAUGCUAUCACCUAUUGUAGAAGGUCUCACUGAGGAGGAAUGGACAUCACUACUUGAAGGCAAUGAAUGAGUAGAUGAUUUACCAUUUAUUGAUCCAAUAUGGCCUUCACCACCAUCUCCACCUCCCCAAAGGCUAGCGGUACCUCGUAUGGUCAGCAUAUAUGAUCAUAAGGCUCCAUCAACCAAAGUUUACAAGUUCUUAAACGUAUUGAAGAAGAAGGCUUCAUCUUCCGUUGAGAAAUCUGUAGCUUGUGGCACCUCUCGGCAAAAGGUAAUAGAUGAAAACCUCAAUUUCUUUGCGUCAAAUGAACUCCCAUAGAAUUAUGAGCAUGGCAAACCAUUCUUGUAUCGGUGGGAUCUGCUGGAGGGCCCAUGGAAACUGAAUAAGCUACAUGGAUGGGUCAUGACCCCAAUGAAGCAAGGCAUUCGAGCAAUCACUGCGCGUGUCCCAAAAAAGGUUUUCCUUGGUGUUCUCGAUUACGAGAUUGUGAUCGAUUUCGAGAAUUUGCAUAGACUUUACCGUCAUCAACACCUCGACGCGAAUCUCAUUACCGUAUGGUGCUUGUAAGUCCACAUGUACUGCAUACACGAGUUUUCCAUACAUACAUAUAUAUUUUAUAUGUCAAAUACCUGAGCGACUACCUAUUCUGUAGGAUGCAAUGGAAUGAGGAAGAAUUGACAAACAACAGGUUCAAGGUAGCGUACCUUGACCCAGCAUGAAUUAGCGAAUUGAUGCACAGGUUCAAAUUGACAGAAAUGGUCAAAGCACAAAUGGAAGCAGCAGACCACAAGCGGAGAAAAAUGCUAUAAAAGCAAAAUCCCACAUAGAUGAAAUGCACAAAGUGUCCGUCUACAUUGCAAGAGUGAUGAGGAAAAAGGCUGACAAGGAUUAUAUCAUGGCAGCUGACAAUUUUCGGUAAGCUAGCUAGUUUUAAUUACUAUUUGUAUACUUGGUGCUAUUUAAUACUGUCUAUAAUAUAAAUUAUUCUAAUAUAAUGCAGAGAUCACUGAAUUUGCAUCAUUAUUAUAGCCAAACAUGGAGAAGCAAUGGUCCUCGACUCAGCCAAAUUUAGCAAAGAUAGUUACAAGGAAUUCAUAGGUAUUAUACAAAAGUAGGAUAUUCCUUGGCAAUACUGAAAUGCAUGUUGAGAUUCUAUGCACCUAAGUUGUAUUACUAACUCUUGUCUUUAUAUCCUCAAAGUGCAUACAAGUUUUACGUAAAGAAAGGCGGGGAGUGCCCUGAAAACACAUGAAGAAAGAUAUGAAAAUAAUAUAUCAUAGAUUUGUAAGAACAUAAAAUCUUGGUUUCUUUUCAUAUAAUGUAGACUUGUGAUUAAUAAUAACUCAUCAUUGUUUUAUUUGAUUGCAGUACCAGAAGCAACCUAACGGUACUGCGCUAUGCAGAUAUUACGUGUGCGAGUUCCUCAGAAAGAAUGGGAGGUACCGGACGAACCUUGAAGAUAUAAGUCUCUUAUACACUGCCAUGUGCUAACUUUCUAAUGGUUAUACAUCCUAAUCUUCAUUUAUUGUAUACCUACAGAUGCCUAGCAUCCCGAAUCACCAAUAGUCGCUCGUAGAAGGUCAAAUCAACAACAUUUUUAGGGACAUGGCGAGGUUCAUCCAACUCGAGAUUUGUCAUGAGGAUGGAGCAUUCUUUGAUCCAAAUGCCGUGUUGAUGCCAGACGAAUGCAAAGGUCUUCGUAGAUGGAUGAAGUAGUUUUAAUAUUAACGUGGCAAAAAAUAGCUCUAUUCCAAAUGUUGAAUUGUGUGAAUUAUUUAUUAUUCAAGUUUGUUGAAUAAUGUGAAUUAUCUAUUAUGUACGAUACAGUUUUUAAUAAUGUGAAUUAUUUAUUAUUUAAGUAUGUUGUUAUGUGGUUGGAGAUACAUAUUUAAAUUUGGCGGCUAAAAACUGAUGGGAAAUAAAAAUUAUAAAUAAAUCACAGGAAAUAAAAUAUAUAUAUAGGAUGUGAAAAUACAUAUUCCUACCUGGCAUAACCACCCGCCAGCACAGAAACCAUCUGUGCUGGCGGGUUAUGUAAGCCUAUGUGCUGGCGGGUGGCUAACGUCGCCCACCAGCACAAGCACAGAGCAGUCUGUAUCGGCUGGCGGGCACCCGCCAGCACUGACGUCAUUUGUGAUGGCUCAAGGUUGCUGGUGGGCGCUCGGCCCGCUAGCACAGAGCCCUUUUAGGCACCAGCACAAACCUUUUGUGGCCUGCUGAAAAUCCAACCGUGGGCUCCUUGGCUGCUUAUGAAGUUACAGCUUCUAAUCAUGGCCAGAGACGAGACGGGACUUAAAAUUGAUGCCAUAUCAACCAACAACCGGAGGCAAGAGAAGUCGAGAGGCCAUCAUUGGCAUCCGUUUACAUGUCCUCAUAUCACUUUGAUGCAUGCAUAUGCUACCCCAUCUGCAAAAACCCCAACGUGUGGGUGUGCAAGAAUUGCACCGUGUGGUGUCGUUUCCUGUUUCUUAGUUUGAAAAUUUAAUCAUAGAGCUCAAGGAUCAGAGCUCUAUCACAAAGGCGGUGUCAAGAAAGCAGGACCAUCAUCAACGCACUCACCAAUCCUGAUGAGAUCACUUUGGUGGCUUCACUUCACAGAUAUCCUAAAUUUUAACCACCUUAUGCUGUCGAUCAACAGGGUCAAUGAAUCCACGGCAUUGCCAUGUUCAUCCCCACUUCAUAAAAUCGUCGUUGUCUGCAGGUUCAAGCCCUUCAACCCUAUGAUUAUAUUUGGGGCCGAGGACCGGAAUGUCCAUAAAAUGGUGCUGGCAUCUGAAGCGUCAGAUGCGUGUAGGCUGUAUAGGGUUUAACGCCAUUAACCGGUUCACAUUUGAUCAAGGAGAUUUGCAUAUAGCCUGUAUUGAGCGCAACAACAAUGUUGAGGUCGUUUUCUAGUGCGUAAAUAUUCUACGUUGGUUCUGAUUAUAUUUACACAAGAAGAGGAGGAUGCUACUCAGCACGGGGACAAACUGCAACGACCGGACCAAGAGGAUCAGUCUAAGAAGCUGCCAAAAUCGAACUUGCAAUGCAAGUUCAGAAAUCUCUGGUGACAGUUCGGUCAGCCACAAAGAAUCAACCAUAACUCUUUAUUCCCAAAGGCUCUCGAGGCCCAUUACUACUCUAUGGAAACCUUAUAGAGUCUACUAGUUUCUAAUGCAACAAAUGGGUUGUGAUAUGGAACUCCAAAUAAAGAGUUAUGAGUGAUUUAGUGGAGAUUUGGCAAAUCCCAAUAGCCACAUGAGGCUCCUCGGAAUUUAAGUUUGCGGUGACCUUUGAGCUAGUAUAACUCAAAAAGCUCCAAGGUCCACUAGGAAGGUUGUUCCUUGUAUAAAUAUUCUUAUCUCUAAGCUAUUUGAUAAGAUUUUGAUAGUCCAAUACAACCUUUUUAGUUUUGGAGUGUGAUAAAAAAAAUUCCAGAGAGUGUUUCUCUACCCUUUUGCACUUCUAUUUUUCUUGAGCGAUAACAAAAGUAUGUGUCCUCUUCAUCGGCUCCCAAUUGGUGAUCCUGGUCCAUUUGAUUCAAGGUUGUGUUGGUUGGUUCUUUGAGAGUAUGGUUAGGCGAACGUUUGAUUCAAGUUGUCGAUUAAAUAUGGUGGUUUGCUUUAAGUUUAAUUUGCCAGGUUGAAGUAAUUAUUGCUAUCUGCAACAAGUUAUAACUUGGCUUUUGUACAGCUAAUUAUCUUAUCCAAAAUCCUACAUCAUGAAGAUCAUGACCGAUUCUCAUCAUGGAAUCAGCGGGUGCCAUGGUGAACAAAUUUGAACAUGUAUUUUCGAACAAAUUCAUAAGUCGUCAUAUAAACAUGUAUUUAGAAAAUAUGACCAUCUAGCCAGUCCAAAGGUACAACAAGAGAAGGUAAUGUUGCUUACGCAUCCAUGUUUACCUUCAUCAUUAUGUUACUGAUUGUGGCCUCAUAUCAUUUUAAAAUUUCUAAGAAUGCACCUUCAAUUUAUUUUUCUUCAAACGCCACCGAUUGUUGUCUUUGUUCAUCAUUUUCUAAGUGGUCGAGGUUGUUAUACUCAAAUAGAAACAUUUCCUAGAGGGGCCAAAACCCUAGCCUAUUGAAGAAAUUUCUAGAGGGCAGCUAUAUGGUCAUUGGCAAUAAAAAAAUACUCGAGAAUCCUGGAAGAUAUUCUGUGUAGAUGUAGCUGUAAAUCCCUCUCAUCUUCUACUUGCUUAGAUGAUGCAAUGUUCAGCUUAGGAGACAAGCUGCUAGAAGACAUUGAACGCUAGAAAAUCUCCGAGAUUCCCGAGUGUUUUCUUUUCAAUUAGUUGUUGUCUAUUACCACGAGUCCUGAAGUGGCCUUGGCAUUACUGUUCACCGUUGGUCAUGGUCCAAUAAUUCAGCCGGUGGCAAAAACGAACUUUUGUCUACUCCUUCAGUACCGGUUCAAAUUUAGAACCCCCAGAGACUUUUUAGUACCAGGUCAUAACACCACCCGGUACUAAAGGCCUCUUCUUUAGUACCGGGUGUUAUGACCUGGUAUCAAAAAGUUUAGAACUUUUACUACCGGGUCAUAACACCACUUCAAAAGGAAAGCAUAUAUUUUGAAAGCAUAUAUACCUCCAUCACAUGUGCUGCAUAGGUGGGAUGGCAACGAAAGGUCACGCAAGGUUUGAGGUCGUGGGCUUGAAUCCCACAAACCGCGCACGACGCGAGGCUUUCUUUUUUGGCGCAAAACAAGUUAGUAGAACUAAAGGGCCUAAAGUACGGGCGGAAUCUCCAGUAGUGUUACAUGUGCUCGCUCAGCUCAGUCUCUCUACUAUCUUGAUGCUCAUGCAAUGCAAUGCACUAGUAGCUGAAGAACUGAGCAAUGCAUCCCGUUCAGAUUCAUUGCACGAGGACCAAGCACCCUCUGGACAUCGAUCCUUCUCUUUUUUUUUUUUGACGUCUAUUCCUUUGCGCGUGGUACACGCGUAGCAGGCUAGCAGCCAAGAACAGGAUCACGUUUUUUAGGCAUAUUCCUUUCCACGUGGUCCACGAGUAGCAGGGCUAGCAGCCAAGGGCAUGCAGGAUUACAGUGAGGCACGUAGAUCCAAUUAAUUCCACAAGGCGUUAAAGCUUGUCACUGUAUAUAUAUAAAUAUAUAUAUGUAGAGUAAAAAAUGGUACUAAUAGGAUUUUAACAGGUGCCAAACGCAUUGACACUGGGUCUCUAUUUAGAUUUGCCAGUUAGAGGCAACAGAGAGGAACCAACCACCGCAAGAUGUACUACGUUGAGCAAAGCAACAGAGAGGAAGAAAGAGGGGGAAUUCUCACCGGCGAGGACUCACUACUAGAGAAACCACUAUAAAUCCCAAAAAAUAUACCAGCUAAAACAAGACUCGAUACUAAUAUUAAUUACCAUUAGUAAUGGGUGUAACUUAAGCUGGUAUAAUUGUGGCGGAUGUAUGGGCUUGGGGCCAUUUGUACUGGUUGCUGGUACCAGCUGAUACUAAAGGGUACGGGUGAAUUCAUAAGGGAAACAUCUCUUAUUAAAAUCACCUCUUACUAAGAUCACAUUUGCUGUGUAGGUGAAUCGGUAAGAAAGCUACAUGCGAGACUUGAAUCAUACGCACUGUACCGGAGGCACACGCAUAAUUUGUGCAUGGCAUGGUCUACCAAUCGUAUCUGCCACAUGGGGUCAUGGGGUCCAUAAAAUGGAAGUAGACAUGGUUGUGUAUAUAUAGCAUUAUGUAUAUAUUAUCGAGGCUUGAUGGCUUGCUUUUAGGCGAGCCAUGAUAAGACUGAGAUUGCGGUAGCUGAUCUUGCGGACUUGGUGACGUUGGUGUUUCAAAUCGGGAUAAAAGGGUCCCCAACGAGGUGGCUGAAAGAGGACUAAAUCCCUCGAACCCUUUUAUCCCGGUUUGUAAUACCAACCGGGAUAAAAAGGGGUCUUUUAUCCCGGUUGGUGUUUCCAACCGGGAUAAAAAGGUCCCCCACGAGUUAAUACAAAAGGAUUGCAUCCCCUAUAUAGUCAAAUAUGCUGUGUAGGUGGGAUGACAAGGAAGCUACGCGCGAGGCUGGAGGUUGUGGGUUUGAAUCCCACGCAGCGCGCACGCGCAUAUUUCGCUUGACUUGUAACCGGGACUAAAGGCCAAUUUUCUACCAGUGCGUUUUCAAGCCGGCUAGCGUAUGAGAAUAUAUGUGGCGGUGUGGAAUGACAUCAGUACAUUUAACUUAACGUGCCGGUGUACAAAAGCACCGGUACGAUUACUUCACUAUUUGUGUCGGUUGUAUUCCGCACCGGUGCGAAAGGACAUAAUGCGCCUGUACACUUCCGCCCGGCACAUAUGAGCCCAAGCAAAUGACGGUCUCCGCGGUUGUGCCAUCCAGCAGUAGUCAUAAGAAAGAAAAACAUCUUUAGUUGCCUUACGUAAGGCAAUAAAUUAGAAAGGAAUUAACAUGCUCACGUCAGCAAUUAGCUUGAAUCUAGGAACCUUGGGUACGUGAGAUGAGAUCGGUAUGCUAGUCUUUUACAACUUAGAUGACUGCAUGUUUAGUUAAUCUUAUCUAGUUUGUUGGCUGGCUUAGAUGCCAUCAUAGUUUCUUGCCAUCGGGGCCUCGUUGUUGCUGGCACUGGCAGGCAGGGGAGGAUGUACCAGCGACGACCCAUAUCCAACCGCCCAUCUUACCUACUACUACGGAUUCCCUCGAACAGAACCCUUCUCUAUAUAUGCACACAGUCGGUAGCAACGGAAUGCACGCACAAGGAAAAGCACGUUACCACAUAGAACACAACUAGUUGUUAGCCAUGGACAAAAUUGGGUUUGUCAAUGGUGCCGGCGUCGACGAGGACUCGACUUGCUUGCACGCACAAACACUGGUCUACGCCUACAAUGUCAGCAUGGCCGUGAAGGCGGCUGUCAAGCUCGGCCUCAUCGACGCCCUCAGCGCCGCUGACGGCAACGGCCUGACCGCCGAGGAGCUAGCCAGCAAACUAGUCCAGGUGGAGGACAAGGCCGAGUCAGCUUCUCUGAUCGGCCGGAUCCUCAGGUUCCUGGCGUCCUUCGACGUCGUCAGGUGCUCGGCCGACAAAGCUCCUGACGGCACGGUGCUGUGGCGGUACUCGCCUGCACCGGCGUGCCGGUGGCUCACCACAAACAAUGGUGAGGGGUCCCUUGGCCCAAUGGCUGUGUUCGCCGUCGAUGAGGACAACUUCUCGUCCUGGUCCGUUCUAGUUUCAUACUAACAUUUACGAUAUGUUUUAUUAAUUAUAAUACAAGGAUGCAAUUGAGAACCUAACAAAAUAUAUGCAUCUCCCGAUCUUUAUGUUUUUCUACCCAUGAAGGCAUCACAUUGCGGAUGCAGUGGCCGGUGGUGGCAAGAAGACGCCGUUCGAGCUUGCCCAUGGGGGCACGCCGGCGUUCGAGUACUUUGGAAAGAACCGGCGUCUGAGCCUGCUGUUCGACCGAGCCAUGGCCCAGCAGUCACUGCUGGUGAUCAAGAAGCUGGUCGAGCAUCCCAAAGUGUUCGACGGCGUUGGGGUGCUCGUCGACGUUGGUGGGGGCACCGGUGAAACGCUAGCGUUGAUCAGAGACCGGUACAAGCACAUCAGGGGCAUAAACAUGGACCUAGCUCAUGUAGUCUCUGAGGCUCCGUCCCUUGAAGGUAGCCCCUCGUCUAUGUACAUGCUACUUCUUACUUGCAUUUGAUGACUAAAGGAAUUAGUAAGAUUCGGACGAUAAACUGAACAAAUAAUCCAGAAAAGAGUUUGUUUAUUUAAGCAAGAAUCAAAGUCGUUCAGAAAUUGUGGCUAAGACAGUGCAUGGGAUACAGUGGUGCGCAUCACGUUUUUUUAAUAAAAUUUCACAGGCGUGGAACAUGUAGCUGGAGAUAUGUUUGAAAGCGUACCAUCUGGAGAUGCAAUUUUGAUGAAGGUAAGUUUGAACAUAUACCGUUAAAUUUCACGAACUUUUCAUCCCAACCUACCAUGCGAAUAAAUAAACAAAAUACAAGAUUACACCUGACUAGUCCAUGUGUGUGUAGUGGAUGAUCCAUUUGCAGAGUGACGAGGAGUCCAUCUUGAUCCUGAAGAAUUGCCACCGUGCUCUCCCAGAUAACGGGAAGGUGAUCGUCAUUCAGAGCAUC
rnacentral:lncRNA from 1 species